rnacentral:lncRNA from 1 species
GCCAAUUGAACUUCAUUGGUACUGGUAGAAUAUGGCAGAUGAGAAGAAACAAAACCUGGAAAACAAACCUGUGUUGUCUCAACCUCUACCCGAGAGGAAGAAAAACACCUCACCAAACUUCCUUUUAUCUGUUGAGCUCAAAUAUGUGAAACUUGGUUACCACUACUUGGUUUCCAAUGCCAUGUACCUCAUGCUCAUGCCAGUACUUUGCGUGAUUUUUGCUCAUCUUUCAACAUUCACAGUUGAUGAGCUUUGGAAUCAACUCAAAUUCAAUUUUGUGACAGUAGUUCUUUCCUCAACCUCAAUUGUUUUUACUGCUACACUCUACUUCAUGAGCCGUCCAAGAAAAGUUUACUUGGUGGAUUUUUCAUGUUACAAGCCCGGACCAGCUCAUAAAGUAUCUAGAGAACUCUUCAUGCAGUUAUCUGCAGCGACCGAGGUUUUCACAGAGCAAAGCUUAGCUUUUCAAAAGAAAAUCCUAGAGAAAUCAGGCUAUGGUGAAAUGACCUACGCUCCAAAAGGCUUGAUGCGUGUCCCGCCAGACCAGUCCAUGGCUGAAUCCUGGAGGGAAUCAGAGAUGGUGAUGUUCGGAGCAAUUGAUGAUCUCUUGGCCAAAACAAUGGUGAAGCCUAGAGACAUAGGAAUACUUGUGGUGAAUAGCAGUUUGUUCAAUCCCACGCCGUCUCUCUCAGCUAGAGUUGUGAAUCACUACAAGCUUAGAGGGAACAUUUUGAGCUAUAAUCUUGGUGGUAUGGGCUGCAGUGCAGGACUUAUUUCUAUUGAUCUUGCCAAAGACCUUUUACAGGUUUGUUACUUCAAAUGGCAAACUUUUACGGUUUUUAAGGUGCCGCCUUCGGAUUUAGCAAUUUAAUUUGAAUGAUUUGACGACGGUACGGUUGAUAUAUAGCAUGAUUUGCACAUAUGUAUGAUAUUCUUAAAAUUAAGCAUGAGUUUGUACAUAUUUUAAAUCUACGUGUCAAAAGGUCUCGGGUUUAAAUAUUUCCUUUAUAUAAUAAAAGUAAUAAUAAUUACAAGGAUUGACACUUCAUUGUACCAGGUGCAUCCCAACUCCUAUGCCCUAGUGGUGAGCACCGAGAACAUUUCUCGCAACUGGUAUUUUGGCAAUGACCGAUCGAUGCUUGUCACCAACUGCCUCUUCCGUAUGGGAGCAGCCGCAGUCCUCCUAUCCAACCGGACAUUUGAUCGCCGUCGCUCAAAGUAUCAACUUAUCCGUACUGUACGUACACAUAAGGGUGCAGAUGAUAAGUCCUUCAACUGUGUCUUGCAACGAGAGGAUCUUGACACCCAAAGAGUUGGCGUCUCUCUCUCAAAAGACCUAAUGGCAAUAGCUGGAGAAGCCCUUGAAACGAAUAUAACCACUCUGGGCCCAUUAGUUCUUCCAGUCUCCGAACAACUUCUAUUCUUUGUAACCUUAGUUGCCAAAAAAAUCUUCAAGAUGAAGGUAAAACCAUAUAUUCCUGAUUUCAAGUUGGCAUUUGAGCACUUCUGCAUCCACGCUGGAGGAAGAGGUGUGUUGGAUGAGCUUGAGAAAAAUCUUGAGCUCACUGAAUGGCAUAUGGAGCCAUCAAGAAUGACUCUUUAUAGGUUUGGAAAUACCUCUAGCAGUUCUUUGUGGUAUGAAUUGGCGUACUCCGAGGCCAAGGGAAGGAUCAAGAAGGGGGACAGAAUUUGGCAAAUAGGUUUUGGUUCAGGAUUUAAGUGCAACAGUGCCGUGUGGCGUGCUAUAAGAGCUAUCGAUCCGGCCAAAGAGAAGAAUCCUUGGAUGGAUGAGAUUGAUGACUUUCCAGUUCGUGUGCCUAGAGUGGCACCUCUUGUUUAUUAAAAACAAUAUCAUCUCGGAAAAAAGGUCACCGUCCAUCGUUAUUAUUAUUUCAAUCGGCAAUAUUAUGUUAUUAUCCGAAUGCAGGAGUAAUUAUUAACGUGAAAUAAAAAUGUUAUUUUCACAUCUCUUUUGGUGUAGAAAUAUAACAUUAUUGAAAUUGGUGUUAUAAUGUAAUGGUUCUAGCUAUAUGUUUUCAUGUUUCUUUGUGCAUGCAAUCCUGUUGUAGCACUGAUCGGGUCCGAUGUUUAUUUAUAAUCGUGUGGUCAAGUUGGUCUUUAGUGGGAUUCUUGCCCGCUAUUUUCAUUCCAAUAUAUAUCAGUUUAUAAAAAAAAAAUAUAUAUUUCUGACAGCUCAUUCAUGAAUGACAUUCUCUCACAAAAUUUUGUUCGAUAAAAUGUAAUGGCAAUAGCACUAACGUCAGGUUCAAUUGAGGUAUUGGCUUAGAAAAUAAUUUGGAUUAUAUUGAAUCAACUUGUGCAAUAUAAAGUCUAUUCAGACUAAUCAAUUUGGUUAAAAUGAUAAUUUUUAUGAAACUAGAAAAAAAUAAUAUUUUAAAAAGGAAUAAAAAGAACUCCAAGUCAAUCUAGUAUAACCUGUCAAACUUUUCACCCAAGUAAUAAAACUGAAAUAACUUUAUAAAAAGUAAAUUAAAAACAAGUUAUGAAGCUUAUUUUUCAGUCAAUCAAAAUGAUAAAAUAUAAAAUUAUAAAAAAAAUAAUUAUAAAAAUAUCCAAAAAAACCUAAGUAAACUAGAUUAGCCUGUAAAACUUAUGACUCAGAUAAUAAAACUAGAAUAAUAUCAUAAAAAAUAAAUCAAAAUAAAUUAAAAAACUCAAAUCAAAUUAUAAUCACCUAAAUUAUACAAAUCAUGGAAUCGUUGUUUGGACUAGAUGGCAGACCAUGAGCUGAAUAUGUAGGGCUUUCGAAGAAAAAAUUAUUGUUUCAAUUAUGAGAAAAAUUUAGAGGGGGAAAAAAUUAAUUACCUGAUCGAAUGUAAUAGCACUAACGCAGUUAGUAGCAAGAAAAGAGGAAGAGUAUUAAAAAUAUGAUAUAUUAAAGAUUACUCAAGUGUGUGUAUACAUGCACAUGUGCAACCUGGAGAGUGAAUUCAAAUUUGAAAGUAUUUAGUAUAUCAUUUAUAAGCCUACAUUUAACAGGCUCAGAACCAUCAAUAGAUCAAAAAAAAAAAGAUUCAAGUACUAUCUAAACCCCUUUCUCUCUCUAGACCGGAGUCCGACAACUACCUCUCUCUCCUUCUAACAAAAAAAAACUGGAAAAUAUUGAGGAUUAAAAUAAAUGUUUCAACGAAACUUUUAACCCACCCCCAAUGCUACCCGAGAUUUUCACUCAAGUCCAUUAGCUUUCAAUUCAAUCCUCCUUCCUAAAAAAUUGCAAUUGAGGGCUAAUUUAGGCUUCAAAUAGCCAAAUCAUACAAAAUAAAAGUUCAGAGAUCAAAGUGAAAAUUUUCAAAAAUAAUUUCACCUUUAUUGCAUGUUUAGCAAGUUUCAUCGUUACAUUGUCCAGUCAAAAAUAAUUUAUAUACAGAUAAACAACAACAUGACACUGAACUAAUAUAAUUAGAGGCAAUAUUUGCAGGAAACAGCUGAAACAGUCCCCUUACGGAUAAAAGGAGCAAGCCACAAAAGGACUGGGCCAUGCAGGUAGAAUAAUUAAUGAUAGAUGCCUUCACCAAAAAAUCCUAUUUCACAUUUUUUGACCCAAAAUACCUAGAAAACACCGUAGAGAUCUUGUUAAACCAAUCCAUUAUCACAAAAAACCAAAAAACAACCCCAAAACCCGAAAUCCACCAGGAACAAAAAUUCUUCCCGCGCUAAGAUAUGUUGUUUUAGGUGUUUUGAAGGUAAAAAAAAAUUCAAUUUAUGUUUUUUCUUCAAUAGUAAUAUGUUUUGUUUUCAAAUUUAUUAAUAAUAAUAAUAAUAAUAAUUUUUAAUUUUACCCAUCAAAUCAAAUCUAUGGUUGUUUUUCAAUAUUAAUAAUAUUUUUCAAAUUUAUUAAUUAUUUAUAAUGAUAAUAAAAAUAAUAAUAAUAUUAAACUUGUAUGUCCCAAGUUUAAAAGGAUCUAGUUGCAAUGCCAGAUCCAAGUAUUUCAAUUUUAUCCUUAGUUAUUUUUUUAAUAUCAAAUGUAUAUAAUAACAAAAGACAAUUUCACCUUUAUUGCAUGUUUAACAAGUUUCAUCGUUACAUUGUCCAAUAAAAAAUAAUUUAUAUACAGAUAAACAACUACAUGACACUGAACUAAUAUAAUUAUAGGCAAUAUUUGCAGGAAACGGCUGAUAUAUUCCCCUUACGGUUACAAGGAGCAAGCCACAAAGGACUGGGCCAUGCAGGUAGAAUAAUUAAUGAUAGAUGCCUUCAUCAAAAAAUCUUAUUUCAACAUAUUUUGACCCAAAAUACCUAGAAAACACCCUAGAGAUCUUGUUAAACCAAUCCAUUAUCACUAAAAAGCCAAAAAAACAACCCCAAAACCCGAAAUCCACCAGGAACAAAAAUUCUUCCCGAGCUAAGAUAUGUUGUUUUAGGUGUUUUGAAGGUAAAAAAAAAUCAAUUUAUGUUUUUUCUUCAAUAGUAAUAUGUUUUUUUUUCAAAUUUAUUAAUAAUAAUAAUAAUAAUAAUAAUUUUUAAUUUUACCCAUCAAAUCAAAUCUUUGGUUGUUUUUCAAUAUUAAUAAUAUUUUUCAAAUUUAUUAAUUAUUUAUAAUAAUAAUAAAAAUAAUAAUAAUAUUAAACUUGUAUGUCCCAAGUUUAAAAGGAUAUGGUUGCAAUGCCAGAUCCAAGUAUUUCAAUUUUAUCCUUAGUUAUUUUUUUAAUAUCAAAUGCAUAUAAUAACAAAAGAUAAUUUCACCUUUAUUGCAUGUUUAGCAAGUUUCAUCAAAAAUAAUUUAUAUACAGAUAAACAAAAACAUGACACUGAACUAAUAUAAUUAUAGGCAAUAUUUGCAGGAAACGGCUAAUAUAUUCCCCUUACGGUUACAAGGAGCAAGCCACAAAGGACUGGGGCAUGCAGGUUGAAUAAUUAAUGAUAGAUGCCUUCAUCAAAAAAUCUUAUUUCAACAUAUUUUGACCCAAAAUACCUAGAAAACACCCUAGAGAUCUUGUUAAACCAAUCCAUUAUCACUAAAAAGCCAAAAAACAACCUCAAAACCCGAAAUCCACCAGGAACAAAAAUUCUUUCCGAGCUAAGAUAUGUUGUUUUAGGUGUUUUGAAGGUAAAAAAAAAUCAAUUUAUGUUUUUUCUUCAAUAGUAAUAUGUUUUUUUUUUCAAAUUUAUUAAUAAUCAUAAUAAUAAUAAUAAUUUUUAAUUUUACCCAUCAAAUCAAAUCUAUGGUUGUUUUUCAAUAUUAAUAAUAUUUUUCAAAUUUAUUAAUUAUUUAUAAUAAUAAUAAAAAUAAUAAUAAUAUUAAACUUGUAUGUCCCAAGUUUAAAUGGAAAUGGUUGCAAUGCCAUAUCCAAGUAUUUCAAUUUUAUCCUUAGUUAUUUUUUUAAUAUCAAAUGUAUAUAAUAACAAAAGACAAUUUCACCUUUAUUGCAUGUUUACCAAGUUUCAUCGUUACAUUGUCAAAUAAAAAAUAAUUUAUAUACAGAUAAACAACAACAUGACACUGAACUAAUAUAAUUAUAGGCAAUAUUUGCAGGAAACAGCUGAAAUAGUCCCCUUACAAAUACAAGGAGCAAGCCACAAAAGGACUGGGCCAUCCAGGUAGAAUAAUUAAUGAUAGAUGCCUUCACCAAAAAAUCCUAUUUCAACAUAUUUUGACCCAAAAUACCUAGAAAACACCCUCGAGAUCUUAUUAAACCAAUUCAUUAUCACAAAAAAGCCAAAAAACAGCCCCAAUACCCGAAAUCCAACCGGAACAAAAAUUCUUCCCGGGCUAAGAUAUGUUGUUUUAGGUGUUUUGAAGGGAAAAAAAAUUCAAUUUAUGGUUUUUCUUCAAUAGUAAUAUGUUUUUUUUUCAAAUUUACUAAUGAUAAUAACAAUAAUAAUAAUAAUAAUAAUAAUAAUAAUAAUAAUAAUAAUUUUACCCAUCAAAUCAAAUCUAUGGUUGUUUUUCAAUAUUAAUAAUAUUUUUCAAAUUUAUUAAUUAUUUAUAAUAAUAAUAAUAAUAAUAAUAAUAUUAAACUUGUAUGUCCCAAGUUUAAAUGGAUCUGGUUGCAACGCCAGAUCCAAGUAUUUCGAUUUUAUCCUUAGUUAUUUUUUUAAUAUCAAAUGUUUAUAAUAACAAAAGAUAAUUUCACCUUUAUUGCAUGUUUAGCAAGUUUCAUCGUUACAUUGUCCAAUCAAAAAUAAUUUAUAUACAGAUAAACAACAACAAGACACUGAACUUAUAUAAUUAUAGGCAAUAUUUGCAGGAAACAGCUGAAAUAGUCCCCUUACGGAUACAAGGAGCAAGCCACAAAAGGACUGGCCAUGCAGAUAGAAUAAUUAAUGAUAGAUGCCUUCACCAAAAAAUCCUAUUUCAACAUAUUUUGACCCAAAAUACCUAGAAAACACACUAGAGAUCUUGUUAAACCAAUCCAUUAUCACAAAAAAGCCAAAAAACAACCCCAAAACCCGAAAUCCACCCGGAACAAAAAUUCUUCCCGAGCUAAGAUAUGUUGUUUUAGGUGUUUUGAAGGUAAAAAAAAUUCAAUUUAUGUUUUUUCUUCAAUAGUAAUAUGUUUUUUUUAAAUUUAAUAAUAAUAAUAAUAAUAAUAAUAAUAAUAAUAAUAAUAAUAAUAAUAAUAAUUUUUAAUUUUACCCAUCAAAUCAAAUCUAUGGUUGUUUUUCAAUAUUAAUAAUAGUUUUCAAAUUUAAUAAUAAUAAUAAUAAUAAUAAUAUUAAACUUGUCUGUCCCAAGUUUAAAUGGAUCUGGUUGCAACGCCUAAUCCAAGUAUUCCGAUUUUAUCCUUAGUUAUUUUUUUAAUAUCAAAUGUAUAUAAUAACAAAAGACAAUUUCACCUUUAUUGCAUGUUUAACAAGUUUCUUCGUUACAUUGUCCAAUCAAAAAUAAUUUAUGUACAGGGAAACAACAACAUGACACUGAACUAAUAUAAUUAUAGGUAAUAUUUGCAGGAAACAGCUGAAAUAGUCCCCUUACAGGUACAAGGAGCAAGCAACAAAAGGACUGGGCCAUGCAGGUAGAAUAAUUAAUGAUAGAUGCCUUCACCAAAAAAUCAUAUUUCAACCUAUUUCACUACCAGAAAUUCGCUAAAUACCAACGGAUUUACCAACGGAAUAUUUCUGUCGGUAAUUUGAGGUCGAAAUUACCGACGGACACUUUUCCGUCCGUACUUCAGUCGGGAACUACCGACGGAAUAUUUUUCGUCCGUAAUUCAGUCGGCAACUACCGACAGAAAUUUUUCGUCGGUAGUUGCCGACUGAAUUACGGACGGAAAAGUUUCCGAAUUAAAAAAAAAGGCGGGUCGCUGACGUGGAGGUUUUGGCGGGUUAUGUUUUUCUGACGGAAUCACCGACGGAUUCAAAACGACAGCCCGUACAGUGACGUGACCGGUUCGCCGUUUAAAUUACCGACGGACUCACCGAGGGAUUUGAAAUGGCAGAUCCGUACGGUGACGUGUCUAUGUUUCCGUCAGAAUCACCGACGGUUUCACCGAUGGAAUUUCCGUCGGUGAAACCGUCGGAAAAAGUUAAUAUAUGACAGCUCUGGCGACCCUCUCCUCCCCUAUUUCUCCUUCUUCUUCCUAAUCCCAACUCUCCUCACCUGCAAACAACCAGCCCCCCCUCCCCCCCAAAUAAAUCUUCCUCAUAUCAGCACAACAAGUUAUAUUUCUUGAAGUUUUGUUGUCACAGCAUCCGUGUUCUGAUUUACCGAUGGAUUUUAUCAAUUUUUGUAAGUAAUUGUUUCUUUUUAAAUUUUAACAUUUAAUUAAAUGUCAAUUUUAUUGUUUUUUUAGUAUAUGUAUUUUGGUAGUAGAUGUACAUGUUUUAUUGUUAUUUCUCAAACAAACUUGUAGUAUAUGAAUGUAUAAUUCUAUACCUGUUAUGGUUUGUUUUAGAUUUUGUAAGAUUGUAUUUGUUUGUAAAUUGUUAAAACUUUAUGGAACUACCGAAGUACAUGUGCUAUUUUGAAAUAAUUAAUAGCUUGCUUAAUGGGUCCGUUUAAAGUUUUAUCAAUGGUAUUGCGGAGUGGUAAUUUCUGUAAAUUUAUAUAUUUUAAUUCGUAUGGACGUUGAUAAAUAAUAAUGAAUAUUUAAUAUUUAUGAAAAGUUGUGAUUGGUUUGUUGGAUAAUCUCGAGGUAAAGUAAUAUUUUUGCAAGUUUAUUUACCUAACUUAGUUAAUUAAUACAUGAUGUCAUCAUAAUUUUAUAGAGGUUCGAUAUAAGUCAUGGAUGAUCGUUCAUGGAUGUAUCGAGAUUCACCCCAAGGAUUGCGGAGGAUGGAUUAUUGUAACGGGGUUCAGGGUUUUAUUAAUUUCGCAACAUCUAUUCCCAGAAAUUUUAUUGGAGGCGGUAUUAGGUGUCCAUGCAGGAAGUAUGAAAAUAAAAAGUAUCUGCAUCCAGAUGUUGUAAUGAUGCAUCUUUUACACAAAGGGUUUAUGGAGAAUUACCAGUGUUGGUAUGCACAUGGAGAAGUAUUUGUUAGCGAGAGUGAGAGGAGAAUGGAAGAAACGGUGGUUGGGUCUACUUCUAGUGCUAGCAACGUGCAUGAAGCGGCAAAUGACAACACUAAUCCUUACAGAAAUAUGGUUAUGGAUGCAAUGAGAAUGAAUCAAGGUAAUGGCAGUCAAUGUCCAAUCGUAGAAGAACCUAAUGCAGAUGCAGCUAGGUUUUUUGAUUUGUUGAAAGAUUCUGACGAACCAUUAUGGGAUGGCUGCACGAACCAUAGUAAAUUAUCGGCCGUAGCACAGGUGUUCACCAUCAAGUCAGAUCACGGGUUAAGUGAGGCCGGGUAUGACAAGAUUAUUGAAUGGGCAAGAAGCAUUUUACCUGAAGGGAACAGGCUGAGAGAGAACUUCUAUGUUGCGAAGUCCAUGAUGAAACCCCUCGGUUUAGGAUACCAAAAAAUUGACAUGUGCCCUAACUUCUGCAUGUUAUACUACCUUGAAAAUGCUGAGAUGACCGAGUGCAUGACAUGCGGGCAUUCCCGUUACAAACCUAGAACUGGCAGGGGAAAGACUCUAGUGGCAUAUAAAAAACUUAGAUACUUCCCGAUCACACCUAGACUGCAGAGGUUAUUCAUGUCACCAAGGACUGCUGAGCACAUGACAUGGCACCAAGCACACCAUGCGGUUGAUGGAGUGAUGGUUCAUCCUUCUGACGGCGAAGCGUGGAAACGCUUUAACAGUGUUCAUCCUCACUUUUCAGCUGAAUCAAGGAAUGUGCGUCUUGGGUUGUGUACAGACGGAUUCAACCCAUUAAGGUAAUUUGCUGCUCCUUAUUCUUGUUGGCCGGUCAUAUUCACAGUUUAUAACUUGCCACCGGGAAUGUGUAUGAGGCCGGAGUUCAUGUUUUUAUCUACUGUCAUACCCGGUCCAAGAAGCCCGGGGCAGAAUAUAGAUGUUUGUCUUCGACCGUUGAUUGAUGAGUUGGCGCAGUUGUGGUCCUCCGGAGCUCUGACUUAUGAUAUAUCAAGGAAACAAAAUUUCCUUAUGAGGGCGGCAUUGAUGUGGACUAUCAAUGAUUUUCCAGCUUAUGGAAUGCUUUCUGGUUGGAGCACGCAUGGGAAACUCGCAUGUCCAUACUGCAUGGAAAACAACAAGGCAUUCACCCUAGCAAACGGAGGUAAAGCUUCUUUUUUUUACUGUCACCGUCGCUUCUUGCCACUUCAUCACAGGUACAGAAAGAACAGAAAAGAUUUCUUGAUUGGCAGAGUUGAAAAAGAUGUUGCAUCCCCGCGUCUUUCUGAUGAAGAAUUGCAUGAUGUUGUCUCAGAGUACGGUGACAUUAUGUUUGGCCUUCAAUCAGGUAAGCAAAAGUUUCCUGGUUUUGGUUUGACCCAUAAUUGGGUAAAGCGAAGUAUCUUUUUUGAGCUUCCUUAUUGGAAGACCAAUCUGCUCCGCCAUAACCUUGACGUCAUGCACAUCGAAAAGAACAUGUUUGAGAACAUUUUCAACACCGUCAUAGAUGUGAAGGGAAAGACAAAGGACAACAUCAAGGCUAGAUUGGAUAUAGCUUUAUACUGUAACCGUAAAAAUAUGGAGUUGGUUUAUGAUGAGUCACGGGUCGCAAAACCAAGAGCAAGCUUCGUGUUAGAGAAAAACGCACAACUGCUAGUCUACAAAUGACUUAAGAGUUUGCAUUUUCCGGAUGGACAUGCAUCGAACAUAUCAAGGCUGGUUAAUAUAGAGGACUGCAGAUUGUAUGGAAUGAAGAGUCAUGACUGCCACGUGUUUAUGCAAACACUCAUCCCAUUAGCUUUUCGUGAUUUGUUGCCAAAGGGAAUAUGGGAUGCACUCACGGAGAUCAGUCAUUUCUUCAGAGAUAUAUGCUCCAGCAAGUUGAAUGUUGAUCACAUUGAGAGGUUUCAAACGAAUAUCAUCGAGACACUAUGCAAACUUGAGAUGAUAUUCCCUCCAUCAUUUUUUGACUCAAUGGAGCAUCUCCCUAUACAUCUACCGUUCGAGGCAAAAGCUGGAGGACCGGUCCAAUAUAGAUGGAUGUACCCAUUCGAACGGUUAGAUAUUACAGUUGCAAUGUAAUUCAUAUAUAAAAGUAUUUUAUAUGUUUUUCUUAAUUGAAAAUACUUGAUUAAUAUUUCAAUGCAGGUACUUGUUUAAUCUCAAGAAAAAGGUUAAGAACAAGGCGCAUGUUGAGGCUUCGAUAUGUGAGGCCUAUAUUGUUGAGGAGAUCUCAACAUUUAUCUCGUACUAUUUCGAACCUCAUCUGAGAACGAGAAUCAAUCGCGUUCCAUGGCAUGAUGAUGGCGGUGAAGUGCCUUCCAGUGGGAACUUGUCAAUAUUCUCCAAUACUGGACGACCCACACCUAAAAAUGCCGUAAGAGGAAGAUAUUUGUCGGAAAUAGAGUUCAAACAAGCACACAACUAUGUUCUAUUUAACUGUGAUGAGCUGAGACCUUUUAUUCAGUAAGUUUAUACUAAUUAAACUUUGUUAGUAAUAUACUGUUAAUUAUAUAUUGUAAUAUCAUACACUCAUUAUCACUUGCAGGCAACAUCGUCAAUAUUUGCUCUCCAAUAACUCACAGCUGACCGAAUCCCAGAUCUUUCAAUUACAAGAUGAGCAGUUUGCCACGUGGUUCAGAACACAUGUAAGCACUAUCACAAACUCAUUCUAACUUGCAAAAUUACUGUACGUAUGCAUGUCAUUACGAGAUUCUCGUUCAUUUACUGUUUAUUGAUGUACAUUACAUACAAGGUUUAUCAAAUGGGAAGGAAUGCACCUAAGUCAUUGUCUUCACUAAGCCUGGGGCCUGAAAGAAAAUGUAAGUGCUACAACGGGUAUUUUGUCAAUGGAUAUGUUUUCCAUACUGAAGAAUACGGGUAAGGAAGAAAGACAUACAACAACGGUGUUUGUGUUAAGGGAUCCACUAGUAGUGAGUUAGAAGUUGACUACUAUGGUAGAUUAGAAGAGGUCGUCGAACUGCAAUAUCAUAACGAGCAGAAUAUAGUGUUUUUAUUCAAAUGCUAUUGGUAUGACACGACUGAAAGAGGAAUCAUUGUUGAUCCGCACUAUGGUCUGGUCGAAAUCAACUCAAAAGCUAGACUCCGCAACAUAAACGAUGUCUUUGUUUUCGCAAAGCAAUGUCAACAAGUUUAUUACACAUACACCCCUUCAUUUAGAAAGGAUCGAUCAAGAGUGGAUUGGUUGUCCGUUUUAAAAACGAAACCCCGGGGUCGUGUCGAGGUUGUUCAGGAUGAGAACGAAGACACAAGUGUGCGAGAUGAAGUCUUUCAAGUUAGUGAGGUGGUUGAACCAUAUCGAGUUGCUCCUUCGAUUGAAUUGGAAGAAAAUUCAAAUUUUCGUGUUUUCGAUGAUAGUCUUGUUGAUGUUGACGCAGAGGAGUUGAAUUUUGUUUUGAGCUCUAGCGGACAACCAAAUAUCGAUGAAAAAGAUGAUAUUCAUAUUGAAGAUUGCGAUGAAGGUGAUGACAAUUCAAUUGAUGACGACGAAGAAGAAAAUUCUGACUAACUACCAAAAUGAAGCCCUAUGUAAAACCCUUUUUUUCAUGUAAUUUAGAUUAUAAAUGAUAUAUAUAUUUUGAAACACAAAAUAUUUAUUACUUUAAAUAAUUAGUUGAAAUGCCACAAUUAUGAGAUAAUUACUUGAAAUAAUUAUUGAUCAUGGAUGAUAUAUUUUGUGACAUGAAAUAAUUACUUGAAAUGCCACCACAUCACCGACGGCCACGGCAUUUCACAGAGAGUUCGAAAAUAAUUACUUGAAAUGCCACCCGAUCACCGACGGCUACACCGACGGCCUUAAGUCCGUCGGCAUUUCACAGAGAGUUCAAAAAUAAUUACUUGAAAUGCCACCCGAUCACCGACGGCUACACCGACGACGUUCAGUUCGUCAGCAUUUCACAGAGAGUUCGAAAAUAAUUACUUGAAAUGCCACCAAAUCACCGACGGCCACACCGACAGCCUUACGUCCGUCGGCAUUUCACAGAGAGUUCGAAAAUAAUUACUUGAAAUGCCACCCAAUCACCGACGGCUACACCGACGGCCUUAAGUCCGUCGGCAUUUCACAGAGAGUUCGAAAAUAAUUACUUGAAAUGCCACCCUAUCACCGACGGCCACACCGACGAAUUUAAAUCCGUCGGUAAGUUGUCGGCGGGUCAAUUUUACCGACAAAAUUACCGACGGACCGCGCGAAUUUCAAAGGGUUGUGCAUUAAAUGCGCCUCUGACCGCGUCAUCUUGCCGACGGAAUUUCCGACGGACCACGAAAGAUAUGGAGGGUCAUUAAAAAUUUUGGUGCGAAAUUCAAAAUUUACUGACGGAUUUUUAACACAUCACCGACGGAAUAAAUUAAAAUAAUAAUUAAUUUUAUAGCCGUCGGUGAAUCCGUCGGUAAAACUGCCAUAUAAGUUCAAGUGACCGCCCAUUCAGUUCAUUUUUUCUUCUCCUUCGUUUCUCACCUUAAGAAUUUGAUUUUUUUCCUCUCCAUUCUUCAAAGCUUUCACCUCCAAUCUCUAGCAAGUUUUCUUCAUCAUCUUCAUCAGUUUAAAAGGUUAGUGUUUUCUCUAUUUCAUUUUACUUUAAUAGUUUUUUUUUACUAUUUUUUUGGUUAUUUUUUUUGUUUUGGUGUAUUUUUUGUAAUGUAGAUAAAGUUUAUAGUUUUUUUUUUGCAUAAUUCAUUGCUAAAGUCUAAAGCUUUUUUUUUUUGAAUUUAUUGAAUAUUUUUUAUUGUUGUAUUGGCAUAAUUAUUAUUAGUUAAUUUGUUGAAUAUUUAUUGUUAAUGUUGAAUUUACCAUAGAAUUAGUAAUUGAAUAUGUUGGAAUAAUUAUUAAUUUUACUUUAUUAUUGCAUGAUUUGUGUUUAAUUUUUUCCAUUUAUUUUGAUUGUUAUUCUAGAGUUUUUUUUUUUUAAUUUAUUGUUUUGUUGUAUUGGCAUAAUUACUUGAAUUGUAAUUGUUAAUGUUGAAUUUACCGUAGAAUUAGUAAUUGAAUAUGUUGGAAUAAUUAUUAGUUUUACUCUAUUAUUGCAUGCUUUGUGUUUAAUUUUUUCCAUUUAUUUUGAUUAUUAUUCUAGAGUUUUUUAUUUAUUUAUUGUUUUGUUGUAUUGGCAUAAUUAUUGAAUAAUUACUUGAAUUGUAAUUCUUAAUGUUGAAUUUAACUUAGGAUUAGUAAUUGAAUAUGUUGGAAUAAUUAGUAUAGAUUGGGUAAAUUGGUUGUGGCUAUUGUUAAUAUGUGCAGGUUUGUGGAUUUGGGUAGUAUCCGGUGUUGUAACCCAUUUUUGGGUUCCCCCCAUAAAAAUAUAAAUAUAUAGCCGGAAGAAAUUAGAAAAAAAUAAUAAGAGGUGGGAGUGCUCAGAAAAUGGUUGGAAAAUUGGUCAAUGAGGUUAAAAAUAGAAAGAUUGGAGUUAGGACAGUAUAUUCUUGAAGGAUGAGAGCCCUAUUGAGAGGGGAAUUUUGAAAUUUGAGGAGAAAAGCCCAAAUUUGGAUGUUUAUGGACUUAAUUGGAUUUUUAAAUGAAUUUAUAGGGGAUUUGAUUGUAAGAAAAAUUGAUUUUUAAGUCAAUUUGGGUUUUAAUUAGAAGAAAUUUAAGUUCUGGGGCCAAAAUAUAUUUUUUAGGAAUUUAUUAGGUCAAAUCAGGGGCUUAAUUGCAUAAAUAUUGAAGUUUAAGGGCCAAUUGGGGACUUAAUUGAGAAAAUCCGAAAUCAGGGACCAAAUUGGAAGAGGCGCGUAAAUGGAGGGGCUGCAAUUAUUCGAUUCAGGGGCCUAAUUGAAGAAAUUGAAAGUUUAUUAAUCAAUUGAGGGCUCAAUUGCAUAAAUCAGAGGCCAAGGACCAAAGUGAAAAACGCGGCCAACUAUAGGGGCGGAGACCGAAAUUGGCAGGGAUGCAAUUGAAGGAAAGAAGAUAAUUGAGGGCUGCUUUGCAAAUUGACGCGUUUUGGCGUCUUGCUGGACUUAAAUGAAACGGCGCGUUUUGCCUAAAACGACGCCGUUUCAUUCCAAAAAAAAAAAAAAAAAAAAAAAAAAGAAGAAGAUCGGAACGGUGUCGUUUUGAACGACACUGUUCCUCUUUCUUCCUCCCAUGGACGUGCAGCAGGGAAAGAAAGCAAAAUGGUGGGUUUUUUCUUCUUCACGUGUGCUGCCUCUCUCUUGACCGCAUGCCUUGCCAGAAAACCGAGGGAGCCGCACCUCGCCAGCCACGCCCGCUGGCCGACCACCCGCCGCGCGCCAUGCAGAAAACAGGGGAGUAACGUCUCGACAGCUGCACCCGAAUGGCCGACCAACCGCCGCAGCCCCUGCCCCCCAUGUGCAGCCAUAAAAAGCCCCGCCUCUUGGCUCUAUAAAUAGACCCAAGAAGACAGAAGAAAAAAAGAAAAAAGGGAGGAGACCCGGAAGAAAGAAAAAAACCGAAGAGAGAGAAGAGGAGAGAAAAUCAACCGAAACAGAGGAGAGAGACACCGAAAACCCAACACUGAGAGGAAGGAGAGCUAGAAACCGCGAGGGAACAUAGAAAACGAAAAAACAGCAAGGAGCCGGGAAGAACGUCGCCGCCGGGGGAGGUAGCAGCACUGCUUGGAGCUGCCGUUGGGACUAUAGCGCCGCUUGAUACCACCACCGGCUUCCACCGCAACGCCACAACACCGCCGGAAACGCAGCAAGCUCCACCGCCUCCUCCGUGCCAGGUAAUUCUUCCUCCUCCCUUCAUUACUGUAUUUUCUUUUUUUUCGUUCCUGCAUGCAGAACGAAUAACGUUCUGCAUGCAGAAGGGUGGGGGGAAAAUAAUUCCCCCCGCCAGCGUUUGUUGCUGGGCCAGGCUGGUCCUGGCCCAGCCCAGUCUUCUGGGCCGGGUCUGGCCCAGAAGUGUAUAAUAGUAUCUGGGCCGAAAUCGGCCCAAUCCAUUUUUGGGCCGAGAUCGGCCCAACACUUUUGGGGCUGAGUCCGGCCCAGUUGUUUUGGGCCGGCCCAGCCCGAUUUAAUAUUAUAUAUUAUAUAUAUUAUAUUUUUUGUAUUACUUAUAUAUAUAUGUGAAAAAUUACGAAAAUUCUGCAAAAAUUAGUAAAAAAUAUAUGGGAUUUGGUUGUAAUUUUAUUACUAUAUUUUGAUCAAUAUCGGUUUGUAUUUUUAUACUGUAAAGAUACAAAUCCGGUAUUAAAAUACCCGGUUUUCGUCAAAACAUAAAAAAUACAUAAUUACAAAAAAAAAAAUGUUUUGUUUUCAUGCAUACGGCCUAGUCUCUCCAAUAUAUAUAUAUAAAUAUUAUAACAUCAUAUUUUUCACACAACAAAGAAAAUUUCAAAACAAUAUAUGUAUUAGCAUGCAUUUUGGCUUUAAUAACCAGUUUAUUCAAGCCAUGAGAACUAGGCCAAUAUUUCAAAAAAAUUCUAAAAAAAUCUUUUUGUCCUCUUUUAGUAUUUGGGAUUACGAAUUUAUACGUAAGACGUAUUCCUGAUAUAAAAAAUAUGGUUUUUCAUAGACGUUAGAAUAGUUAGGUUUUACCCGAUAAGAUAAGGACCUCCUUAUUGAGGAGGACUUUUCUUGAACCAUAGACGGACCAACAUACAUAGACAGUUAGAAGGAUUAGGUUUUACCCCUUAAGAUAAGGACCUCCUUAUUGAGGAGAACUUUUCUUGGACCAUAGACGGACCAACAUACAUAUACAUUAGGAGGAUUAGGUUUUACCCGAUAAGAUAAGGACCUCCUUAUUGAGGAGGAUUUUUCUUGAACCAUAGACGGACCAACAACUAGGAAACACAACGAGACCUUGAAUUUGAUCAGACAAAUAAACAAUGCAGCUUACCUUAGGUAGGGCGUAUUUGGGGUGCUAAUACCUUCCCUUUACGCAACCAGUCCCCGUACCUAAUCUCUGAGACCAGUUAGGGUUCCUAGUGACCAAAAUACUAGGUGGCGACUCCCAUUCCAUUUUCCUACCAACAAAAGACUAUUUUCUUGUCUCCCCACAUUUGCCAGAUAAAUACCAUACACACUUCCUAGAUUCUAAAAAGUGGAAUUUUCGCCGCGACGCCGCGCACCCCGCGACAGAAUGGCGACUCCGCUGGGGACUUUGUGGACUAAGCUUUGUUUUUGUCUGAAUUGUUUUUUCGUGUGUUUUUUAAUAUACUUUUCCUUUUGUUAUCUGCUUAUAUGCUUUAAAUAUUUUUUCGCAUAUUGUUCAUGCAUUUGUAUAGAACUGUCUCAUGCAUCUUAUAGAACUGUCACAUGCAUCACAUACUUUGAUUUUGAGAAGCACACACAAGCUUUAAGCUAGGAGGGGGAUUAGCGAUCUGCCCUAUGACUAUUGGUCAGGGUUCAGAUGCGUGAAACACCCAACUCAUAUCUGAGUGCCUGCUUGGUAAUGGUGGGUAUACUUACCUUAACUAUUCCUUGCAACGCCCCCAUACUGUCUUUACGAAGAACGUCACUGGGCAGAUAUGAGACCCUUCAAGACCAGAUAGAAAACCUACCCAUUCUCACCUAAUAAGUAGAACUUGUCCUUAGGAUAUCUAUCUUAUGUUCAUUUGCAUCAUGAUUAACAAUGUUAAAUUCAUCAAUCCAGGUUUUGAACCAAAUCAUGACUAAGUACCUAUCUUUCCAAGAGUUUGGGCAAGAAUUUGAGUUGACUCAAGUAGCUGAAGGAAAAUGCCCAAGAAUCGAUGCUAGUAGGUUGCCUUGCAUUACUAAGAUAAAUCACAUGGUAAAUGACUUGGGGAAGUUAGUGUCUAUUAUGGAAUACAUUGAUGAGACUAUUUUUGAAAGGCGAUAUGGGAGAAUUGCACAACUAAUGAGGUUACCCGUACAAGCAGCAGCAAUCAAAGCCCUACUGAAUUUUUGGGAUCCUAGUUAUCGGAGUUUUACCUUUGGGAACAUUGAUAUGACACCGACUUUGGAGGAAUAUGAAAGGAUUCUAGAUUUUCCAAACAACAGCCACAGGAUCUAUCUAAGGCGAAGAUUUGAAGACACAGCUUCGGAGGUAGUCAGUUUAUUAGGCUUGGGAAAGAUCAGUCAAUGUAGAGUCGCCGAGGGGGGUUUCAAAUGGAAGGUCAUAGAAGCCCGAAUGAAGAAAAAUGCUGAAGAAGGCAAGUUAGGAGAAGAACGAUACAGGUUGGUGGCCUUCGCCAUUUUUGGGCUAGUAUUGUUCCCUUCCGAAAUCGGAGUCAUCAGUUUGGAAGCAGCAAGUGUCUUCAUAGAAUACGAGCGUGACCAGAUCAAUCCUUCAUCAGCUAUUUUGGGAGAAACCAUGUUAUCACUCAAUCACUGCAGAAUGCAUGGAAAAGGAGCCAUGAGAUGUUGCACCCCUAUGUUGUAUUUAUGGAUUAUCAGUCAUAUCGAAACACCAAGGGACAUUUUUAACAACUUUUGGUGGUUUGACCUACGACCGUUAAAGGUUACCAUGGAUGAGACUUGGAAGAAUUGGGAUGAGAAAGCAUGGAUAGAUAAAUAUGCAGCAUUGCCAAGGAGCAACUUCAAAUGGAAAGCACCAUGGAUGAACAAUGCCAUCUGCACAAUGAGCUGUGGAAAUAAGAUAUGGGUUCCCUUGAUUGGUAUAACCGGGUACAUCAGUUACGCGCCCGCCCUAGUAACAAGACAGUUGGGUGGAAUGCAGUACGCGCCAAGAACUCUGGGUUUAGCUGAUUUCAUCGGUUUAUUCAAGCACCAACCCUUCCUCGAAGAAAUGGAGCUUAUCCGACAAGAUUGGGAAAGACCCCUGAUGGUAAAAAAGGAAGAAGGGAGCACAUUUGAAACAUCAUUCAGCCAAAAUUAUGCCGUUUGGAGGAAUGAAGAGCUUUCUGAAGAAAAGGGUUUCUCCAUACCAAAACAUCCAGAAUCAGCAAUAGAGCAACAAAAAAGGAAAAGGACUGAUAUUGAGGAAGAGCUGAGAAAGCAGCUAGAACAAUGUAGAAUUGAUCUCAGCAAGAGCAAAGGGCAGCUGCGACUGUUAGAAAAUCAAUUAGAGGAAGAAAACACGAUGAGGGUUUACUUGAACCAGCAGUUGGAAAAACAGGAUAAACAAUUGACAUCUUUAAAGGAAUGGCAGAAAAGGGCCGAGGUAGCGGAAGAAAUAGCAAAAGGGGUCCAGGCUGAGCUAAAGAAACGAAUGACCGAAUAUGAUGAGCUGGUUAAGAAGAAUGGGCUCGCAGAAAAAGAGUUGGCAAAGGUUAAAAGAUCAACAAAAGGCAAGAUGAAUGUUGACAAAGAGGUGAUGGAUUCCUUGAAGAAGGGAAAGAGCAUUCUUUCAAAGAAAAUAGAAGUUGAAAAGGAGAAGAAUCGGCUAGCCCAGCUCGACAUAGAAGAGGAAAGAAGGAUUAGAGCUCAAUAUAUGGUGCAGCUUGAGGAAGAGAGAAGUGCAAGAAAGGCCGCCGAGUCUGAUAUGAGAGAUUACCAGAAAAGAGCUGAGUCUUUGAAAGGAAGAAUGAUGACUUUACAAUCUGAGAUCGAGAUACAAGUAGAAGAGUUGAGGGAAUUGAGAAGCCAUUACUUCGAGAUGGAGGAGGAGCUCAGUAAGGCUAAGCAAGAGCGUCAAGAAUGUCAAGGCUACAUGGACAGCUUUACAGUCCAAAUUAACUCCAAAAUAGCCGAGCUGGAUAUCGAAAAGGAAGAACUGCAGAGGGUAAGGGAUAAGUUGGCCCGGUCGGAUGAUAUGGUUCGAGUGUUGGAAAGAAGUAAUGAAGCCCUAGGAGCCAGCAACGAAGUGAUAAUUGCAGAUAACACUGUGUUCCAUGAUAAGAUAAGGCAUAUAACGCAACAGGUCGAGCAAGUAGCCCGUUAUGCGGAAAGGUUGCAACGACAAGCUACCCAAGUUGGAAAUGAUGCUUCAAAGUAUCGGGAAUACAUGGCAGCCAUCACAUGUUUUAUUGGGGACUUAGCUAAUAGGGGAAGCGCCUUUUAAAGGGUAACAAUGUAUAACGCUCUGUUUUGUAAUCAUUGUAUGAAUGACUUCUAUUUAUAAGAAGGUCAUGACCUAUCUUUCUUUCUAAAAUGUUUUGGUAAGCUACAAUGAUAAGAACUUGGCAAACCCUCCUUUACAGCAAUCGGGUCAACUCAGAAAUCUUGCCUAAAGGAUUACGAAAGUCAUGAAUCAAUUUUAAAAUAUACAUUUGCACGAGCAUCAUAUUUUCAUCACGCAUUUGUUUAAUUUAUCAUAUGCAUGCCAGAUCGUGAAACAUAGGUCCCACAUCCAAGGUCCACAACACCCGGUCUAGAGCAAGAAUGGAGAACGAAGAGAGUUGGUACAAGCCCGAGUUGGCUUGCGAGUACCAUGGGGGUAAUCCCGGGCAUGGGAUUGAAACCUGUUACGCCUUCAAGAAGAGGUUGUUGGAGCUUAUUAAGAUGGGAUGGGUAUCCUUUGAGGACAAGCCCAAUGUUAAUUCAAACCCAUUACCUAAGCAUGCCCCAAAUAGUAGUGGAAUAGGCAUGAUCGAAGUGGGAAAUCAAUGCAAGGUGUUGAAGGUGCCCAUGAAGAGGUUGUACGACAUGUUGGUACAAUCAGGAUUUCUAAAGACAAAGGUGGAGAGCCGUUUGGAGGGAUAUGAUUACUGUGAAUACCAUGGAAGAGAUGGACAUCAUAUUGAGGAUUGCAUCGAGUUUUGCGAAAAGAUUGCAAAAAUGCUAAAAACAGGGGAGUUGAGGAUUGAACCCAUGAAGAGCAGCGGUGAGGUGAGUAUGAUGGAAGGUCGAGAUGAGAUGGCAGGAGUAUGUAGGAUCCAACAAACAGCUAAGGGGCCACCAAGGCUAAUCUUGGUCAAACCUUCCUGCACAAAAGGAAACCACAAUGCCAUGCAUUACAAUUACGGCUAUACCUCCAACGUUCAAACUCCACUUCCCUUGUUCCAAACCGAGAUUAGUGGUUUGACUCGGAGUGGUCGUUGCUUUACGCCCGAGGAGUUGAGAAAGGCAAAGGGCAAAGAAGUGGUAGAUCUUGACAAAGCACUAGAAGUUAAUAAGCCAGUAACGGAAGAGGAAUCGAAUGAAUUCUUGAAGUUGAUCAAGCAUAGCGAAUAUUGCAUAGUAGAUCAACUAAAGAAGACUCCAGCUAGGAUCUCCCUUAUGUCCUUGAUACUCAGCUCUGAGCCGCAUCGAAACGCCUUGCAAAAGGUAUUGAAUGAGGCAUAUGUACCCCAAGACAUCGAACAUAAAACCAUGGAGCAUCUAGUGGGGAGGAUCCAUGCAACGAAUUACCUGUACUUCACAGCUGACGAGCUCGAUGCUGAAGGUACCGGACAUAACAAGCCUUUAUACAUUACGGUUAGGUGCAAGGACUGCCUCAUAGGAAAAGUACUCAUUGAUAAUGGCUCGGCCCUUAACGUGUUGCCAAAACACAUGCUAGAAGAAAUGCCGAUCGAUGAAUCCCAUAUUAAGCCAAGUACUAUGAUGGCCAGAGCGUAUGACGGGUCGCCUAGGCCAAUAAUUGGGACUUUAGAAGUGGAGCUAUAUGUGGGACCACAAAUGUUCCUAGUAACACUUCAGGUUAUGGAUAUCCACCCUUCCUAUAGUAUGUUGUUAGGAAGACCUUGGAUUCAUGCAGCGGGGGCAGUAGCUUCGUCAUUGCACCAAUGACUGAAGUAUAUCAUGAAUGGGAUGUUGGUAACUGUCAAGGCCGAGGAGACAGUAUCCAUGACAAAGAAUGUAGCUGUGCCUUUUAUCGAAGCGGGUGAUUGCAAGGGUAACAAUAUCCAUGCCUUUGAGAUCGUGAACACCGACUGGGUGCCGGAAAACACAGUGCUAAGAAGGCCAAGGAUCUCAGAAGCAGCAAGGAUGGCAAGUCUAUGCUUCUUGAACCGCGGAAUCCCAUUUCAGUAUAACCUUAUUAUCGGGAUACCAGAAGGGGUUAAUUUGGCAAAGAUGAAAAGUGCUGCUCAAAGAUUUGGGCUAGGGUACCAACCUAACCAAGAGGAUUAUCGGUGGGCUGCUAGUCGGAGAAGGGCAAGAAGGAUGGCUAGAAUUAAAGGAAGAGAGCCUGAUGAAGAAAAGCUGGAAAUCCCUCCCCUUAGCGUGUCAUUCCCAAAAGCUGCAUACAUAAUGCAACAUGAUAAAGAAGCCGUCAAACAUGAGCAUAAAUACCUUGGGGGAAAACAAGGUGGAAGGAGAUGACAUGAAGACAGUAGCAAGAAAGGGAGAUGAAGCACUCCCACAACUGACGGUCUACACCAUAGAAGAAGUAUCCGCCAAGACCUUUGUGCGCAAGUUAGCUCAAGACGAGAAGUUUCAGAACUGGGUAACCCAAGAAGCUCCAGUGGUUUUCAAAAUGUAAACCAAUUUUGUUUGUCUUAACAUGCUUUUGUCAUUGCUUAUGUUUGCUUUUAUUUCCUCUAGUUGACAAUCAAGGCUCAUGAUGUCAGCUAGAUUUUAUGUUUGUCAUGGAGCCCACCUUUUCUUUAAAUAAAUUGUGAGAUCAUGCACUUUUCACAAAUUGCCUUAUUUUUUUAUGCAUUUACACCAAACACUUCCCGCUUUCAGGAAUCCUGAAAGCGGAUCUCCCACAACAUCACAUACAUUUAGCAUCAAGAAUAAAUGGCCAAACUUGAACGAGCAUGUGAUAGCUAUGGAAGAAGAAGAGUGGGAUGAAAGCAAUAUCAGUGAAUUCACUAGGCUAGUAGAACAACAGGAACAGACUUGGAAGCCUAUCGCUGAGGAACUUGAAACCAUCAAUGUGGGCAGUGAUCAGCUUAAGAAAGAGUUAAAAAUAGGUACCCUAAUUACUUCUGAACAAAGGAUCAAAAUGAUCACCCUAUUACAAGAAUAUUCAGAUGUCUUUGCUUGGUCCUAUGAAGAUAUGCCUGGUUUGGAUACAAAUAUUGUAGUACACAAGAUACCGUUGGAAGAAGGUUGUAAGCCAGUCAAGCAGAAGCUGAGGAGGGCCCACCCGGAUGUCUGGAUCAAGGUCAAGGCAGAACUCGAGAAGCAAUGGGAUGCUGGUUUUCUAGAAGUCGUUAGAUAUCCGCAAUGGGUAUCUAACAUUGUUGUGGUGCCUAAGAAGGAGGGGAAGAUUAGAGUGUGCGUGGAUUUUCGGAAUUUGAAUAAAGCUAGCCCCAAGGAUGAUUUUCCGCUACCACACAUAGAUGUUUUAGUAGACAACGCUGCCCGGAGUUCCACAUAUUCCUUUAUAGAUGGUUUUUCAGGAUACAACCAGAUAAAAAUGGCUUCGGAGGAUAAGACGAAAACAACUUUUGUCACACCUUGGGGAACGUUCUGCUAUAAGGUCAUGCCAUUUGGAUUGAAGAAUGCAGGAGCAACCUAUCAAAGAGCAAUGGUGACUUUGUUCCACGACAUGAUGCACAAGGAAAUUGAGGUGUAUGUAGACGACAUGAUUGCCAAGUCUAAAAGGGAAGAGGAUCAUGUUGAAGUUUUGAGGAAGUUAUUUGAGAGACUGAGGAAGUAUGAAUUAAGGCUCAAUCCUGUAAAAUGUUCAUUCGGAGUUAAAUCGGGUAAGCUGUUAGGAUUUGUGGUAAGUGAUAGAGGUAUAGAGGUGGAUCCAGAUAAAGUGAAGGCCAUCCAAGCUAUGUCAUCCCCUAAGACGGAGAAAGAAGUAAGAGGAUUCUUGGGAAGAUUAAACUACAUUGCUAGGUUCAUAGCUCAGUUAACAACAACGUGUGAACCAAUAUUCCGACUACUAAGGAAAAAGAAUCCUGGAACCUGGAAUGAGGAGUGUGAGGAGGCAUUCAAUAAAAUCAAGCAUUAUUUACAAAAUCCACCUUUACUGGUGCCUCCGGUAUCAGGAAAACCUCUAGUAUUGUAUCUAACAGUGACUGAAGCGGCCAUGGGAUGUGUAUUGGGUCAGCAUGAUGAAACCGGAAGGAAGGAAAGAGCUAUUUAUUACCUAAGUAAGAAAUUCACUGAAUGUGAGUCUAGAUACACGGAGAUAGAAAGGCUUUGUUGUGCGUUGGUGUGGGCUGCAAAGAGGUUGCGACAUUAUAUGUUAUACUAUACCACUUGGUUAAUUUCAAAAGUGGAUCCUCUGAGGUAUAUUUGUAACAAGCCCUUUCUCUCAAGUCGAAUUGCAAGGUGGCAAGUUCUAUUAGCAGAAUAUGACAUAGUAUACAUGACAAGGAAAGCCGUAAAAGGAAGUGCAAUUGCAGAUCAUCUGGCCGAUAAUGCUGUUGAAGAUUAUGAACCUUUGGAUUUUGACUUCCCUGAUGAAGAUAUAUUGUCAAUAGAGAAAGAAGAAGAGAAGACAGAUUGGUGGACGAUGUUUUUUGAUGGUGCAGUGAAUGUAUAUGGUAACGGGGCCGGUGCGGUAAUAAUCUCUCCUAAUAAGAAACAAUAUCCAGUUUCGGUUAAACUACAUUUCGAGUGCACCAACAACACAGCUGAGUAUGAAGCUUGUAUCCUCGGUUUAGAAGCGGCAUUAGAGUUGAAGAUAAAGAAGUUAGAUGUAUAUGGAGAUUCAAUGUUGAUUAUUUGUCAGGUUAAAGGGGAAUGGCAGACCAAGGAGGACAAGUUGAGGCCGUACCAGGAAUACCUAUCCACGCUAGCAAAGGAAUUUGAAGGAAUUAGAUUCACCCAUCUGGGAAGGGAGGGGAACCAUUUUGCGGAUGCUUUGGCCACGUUAGCUGCUAUGACUACCAUUGAUCUCAAGUGCAAGGUACAACCGGUACACAUUGACAUUAGAAAUGACCCAGCUUAUUGUUGCUUAGUUGAAGGAGAGAUAGACGGACAUCCUUGGUAUUAUGAUAUCAAGAACCUUGUGCAAAAUCACGAAUAUCUGGUGGGAGCUUCCAAAACGGAUAAGAAAACUUUGAGAAGGUUGGCUAUAGACUUCUAUUUAGAUGGAGAGAUUUUGUACAAAAGAUCAUUUGAUGGGACCCUACUAAGGUGUUUGAAUGAGGCAGAUGCUAGAAAGGCAUUACGGGAGGUCCAUGAGGGGAUUUGCUCAACCCAUGCUAGCGGGCAUAUGAUAGCGAGGAAAAUCCAAAGGGCUGGUUAUUUUUGGAUGACACUAGAGAAAGACUGUAUCGAUUAUGUCAGGAAAUGUCAUAAAUGUCAAGUUUACAGUGACAAGGUCAAUAUGCCACCAGCUCCUCUAUUUAAUCUAAUAUCCCCUUGGCCGUUUGCAAUGUGGGGAAUUGACGUGAUCGGGCCUGUUAACCCAAAAGCUAGCAAUGGUCAUAGAUUCAUCCUCGUAGCUAUUGACUACUUCACAAAAUGGGUAGAAGCUAGUUCAUAUGCCCACGUAACACAGAACAUAGUGAAGAGGUUUAUAGAGAAGAACUUGAUUUGUCGAUAUGGUCCUCCUGAAAAGAUAGUGACAGAUAAUGCACAGAAUUUCAAUGGCAAAAUGAUAGCGGAGCUGUGUACUAAAUGGAAAAUCAAGCAUUCGAAUUCUUCACCAUACCGACCAAAGAUGAAUGGCGCAGUAGAAGCCGCCAACAAGAACAUCAAGAAGAUUAUUCAGAAAAUGGUAGUCACAUAUAGAGAUUGGCAUGAGAUGUUGUCAUUCGCACUUCACGCAUACCGCACUACAGUCAGGACCUCGACAGGGACUACCCCAUAUUCUUUGGUAUACGGUAUGGAGGCAGUGAUGCCGUUGGAAGUGGAAAUCCCAUCGUUAAGAGUAUUAAUGGAUUCCGAACUAGAAGAGGCUGAGUGGGCCAAAGUGAGAUAUGAGCAACUGAACUUGAUCAGCGAAAAGAGGAUAGCUGCAAUAUGUCAUCACCAACUUUACCAGAAACGAAUGGCCAAGGCAUAUGAUAAGAAUGUUAGACCGCGGUUGUUUCAAGAAGGGGAUCUAGUAUUGAAGAAAAUAUUGCCGUUACCUGGAGACGAUCAAAGCAAAUGGGCACCGAAUUACGAGGGUCCUUACGUAGUAAAGAAGGCAUUCUCAGGAGGAGCGCUGAAGUUGGCUAGAAUGGAUGGGGAAGACCUAGCUCGACCUGUGAAUUCUGACUCUGUAAAAAGAUAUUAUGUUUGAUGUACGCUCCUAAAUCAAUAAAGCAAAGUUUGGCCAUUGACUUCUUUCUUUUUUUUGCAUUGAUCUCACAACAAUCAUUUUUUUUGCAUUAAUCCCAAUAGCGCAUGUUUUGUUGUUAUCGCACCUAAAAAAGUUUAGCAUCGGCUGAACGAAUUCCUUUUCUAUACAAAAGCCUAGGCUAAAAUCACACCCCUACACUGGGGGCAAUAAGAGAUGUUUUCAUGAAAAGUUUUACGUGUUUAAAAUGUACGGAAGCCUAUAGAUUUGAAAAUCAAGCUAAAGCAUUUGACAAAAGCAUGACAAAGAGGCAAUGACAAAUCAUACAUUUUGGGAAAAGGACUACUUAAAGAAAGUCAGAGAUUUCUUCUCCAAAAUAUGAUAGGAGGCAACACGAGAGAUGAAUCCAGCAUGCGACUUCAAAAGCAAGCUCAGGUUAAGAAGGAGGCUCAAGAACUCGAAGAAGGUGAUGGGGCCUAUGUUUCAAAACCAGGUACGAAUGCAUGCAUGACAUCUAAUCAUAAAGCAUUGCAUAUAUGUUUUUUGGAUCGUUACAGGAGGAGACCUUGAUGCUUUCCAACAAGAUUGGAGACGAAGAAAGAAUCAUAGAGGAUGAUAGCAAAGAAUCACGGUUUUGAACCAUAGUGGAUUCCGGAACAACGAGAAGAACAAGAAAAAGAGAGAAUGAAAAGUUUUGAACCCUGCCAUCAGGAAGAACGACAUCGAUAUCAGCUUUGGUAAUAAGGAAUCGCCAGAUGGGAUUCCAAAUUGAUUAAAGGAGAUCGCCAGAAGGGAUCUCGUGUUUCGCUAUUAGAAGGUCGCCAGAUGGGACCUCAUUUCAUGUUGAAAGGAAUCGCCAGAUGGGAUUCCAAGUUGAUUAAAGGAGAUCGCCAGAAGGGAUCUCGUGUUUCGCUAUUAGAAGGUCGCCAGAUGGGACCUCAUAUUUCAUGUUGAAAGGAAUCGCCAGAUGGGAUUCCAAGUUGAUUAAAGGAGAUCGCCAGAAGGGAUCUUAUGUUUCGCUAUUUGAAGGUCGCCAGAUGGGACCUCGUAUUACAUGUUGGUUAGAAGGAAUCGCCAGAUGGGAUUCCAAGUUGAUUAAGGGAGAUCGCCAGAAGGGAUCUCGUGUUUCGCUAUUUGGAGGUCGCCAGAUGGGACCUCGUAUUACCUGUUGAAUAAAAGGAAUCGCCAGAUGGGAUUCCAAGUUGAAGGAGAUCGCCAGAAGGGAUCUCGUAUCUCGCUAUUUGGAGGUCGCCAGAUGGGACCUCAUAUUUCGUUUGAAUAAAAGGAAUUGCCAGAUGGGAUUCCAAGUUUGAUUAAAGGAGAUUGCCAGAAGGGAUCUCAUGUUUUGCUAUUUGAAGGUCGCCAGAUGGGACCUCGUUUUUCAUAUUGAUUAAAAAAGGAAUCGCCAGAUGGGAUUCCAAAUUGAUUAAAGGAGAUCGCCAGAUGGGAUUCCAAGUUGAGGAGGAUUGCUGUAAAAGACAAGUUUCAGAUCAAUCAAGCUUCAACCAGAUCAGUUUCGGGAGUUCCGUUUUGGGGUUUAUCUUUAUAAAACUUACUGCGCAAAACCUCUGCUCCGUAAGCAUUAUAAAGAGGGGGCAUCUGUUGUAACCCAUUUUUGGGUUCCCCCCAUAAAAAUAUAAAUAUAUAGCCGGAAGAAAUUAGAAAAAAAUAAUAAGAGGUGGGAGUGCUCAGAAAAUGGUUGGAAAAUUGGUCAAUGAGGUUAAAAAUAGAAAGAUUGGAGUUAGGACAGUAUAUUCUUGAAGGAUGAGAGCCCUAUUGAGAGGGGAAUUUUGAAAUUUGAGGAGAAAAGCCCAAAUUUGGAUGUUUAUGGACUUAAUUGGAUUUUUAAAUGAAUUUAUAGGGGAUUUGAUUGUAAGAAAAAUUGAUUUUUAAGUCAAUUUGGGUUUUAAUUAGAAGAAAUUUAAGUUCUGGGGCCAAAAUAUAUUUUUUAGGAAUUUAUUAGGUCAAAUCAGGGGCUUAAUUGCAUAAAUAUUGAAGUUUAAGGGCCAAUUGGGGACUUAAUUGAGAAAAUCCGAAAUCAGGGACCAAAUUGGAAGAGGCGCGUAAAUGGAGGGGCUGCAAUUAUUCGAUUCAGGGGCCUAAUUGAAGAAAUUGAAAGUUUAUUAAUCAAUUGAGGGCUCAAUUGCAUAAAUCAGAGGCCAAGGACCAAAGUGAAAAACGCGGCCAACUAUAGGGGCGGAGACCGAAAUUGGCAGGGAUGCAAUUGAAGGAAAGAAGAUAAUUGAGGGCUGCUUUGCAAAUUGACGCGUUUUGGCGUCUUGCUGGACUUAAAUGAAACGGCGCGUUUUGCCUAAAACGACGCCGUUUCAUUCCAAAAAAAAAAAAAAAAAAAAAAAAAAGAAGAAGAUCGGAACGGUGUCGUUUUGAACGACACUGUUCCUCUUUCUUCCUCCCAUGGACGUGCAGCAGGGGAAGAAAGCAAAAUGGUGGGUUUUUCUUCUUCACGUGUGCUGCCUCUCUCUUGACCGCAUGCCUUGCCAGGAAACCGAGGGAGCCGCACCUCGCCAGCCACGCCCGCUGGCCGACCACCCGCCGCGCGCCAUGCAGAAAACAGGGGAGUAACGUCUCGACAGCUGCACCCGAAUGGCCGACCAACCGCCGCAGCCCCUGCCCCCCAUGUGCAGCCAUAAAAAGCCCCGCCUCUUGGCUCUAUAAAUAGACCCAAGAAGACAGAAGAAAAAAAGAAAAAAGGGAGGAGACCCGGAAGAAAGAAAAAAACCAAAGAGAGAGAAGAGGAGAGAAAAUCAACCGAAACAGAGGAGAGAGACACCGAAAACCCAACACUGAGAGGAAGGAGAGCUAGAAACCGCGAGGGAACAUAGAAAACGAAAAAACAGCAAGGAGCCGGGAAGAACGUCGCCGCCGGGGGAGGUAGCAGCACUGCUUGGAGCUGCCGUUGGGACUAUAGCGCCGCUUGAUACCACCACCGGCUUCCACCGCAACGCCACAACACCGCCGGAAACGCAGCAAGCUCCACCGCCUCCUCCGUGCCAGGUAAUUCUUCCUCCUCCCUUCAUUACUGUAUUUUCUUUUUUUUCGUUCCUGCAUGCAGAACGAAUAACGUUCUGCAUGCAGAAGGGUGGGGGGAAAAUAAUUCCCCCCGCCAGCGUUUGUUGCUGGGCCAGGCUGGUCCUGGCCCAGCCCAGUCUUCUGGGCCGGGUCUGGCCCAGAAGUGUAUAAUAGUAUCUGGGCCGAAAUCGGCCCAAUCCAUUUUUGGGCCGAGAUCGGCCCAACACUUUUGGGGCUGAGUCCGGCCCAGUUGUUUUGGGCCGGCCCAGCCCGAUUUAAUAUUAUAUAUUAUAUAUAUUAUAUUUUUUGUAUUACUUAUAUAUAUAUGUGAAAAAUUACGAAAAUUCUGCAAAAAUUAGUAAAAAAUAUAUGGGAUUUGGUUGUAAUUUUAUUACUAUAUUUUGAUCAAUAUCGGUUUGUAUUUUUAUACUGUAAAGAUACAAAUCCGGUAUUAAAAUACCCGGUUUUCGUCAAAACAUAAAAAAUACAUAAUUACAAAAAAAAAAAUGUUUUGUUUUCAUGCAUACGGCCUAGUCUCUCCAAUAUAUAUAUAUAAAUAUUAUAACAUCAUAUUUUUCACACAACAAAGAAAAUUUCAAAACAAUAUAUGUAUUAGCAUGCAUUUUGGCUUUAAUAACCAGUUUAUUCAAGCCAUGAGAACUAGGCCAAUAUUUCAAAAAAAUUCUAAAAAAAUCUUUUUGUCCUCUUUUAGUAUUUGGGAUUACGAAUUUAUACGUAAGACGUAUUCCUGAUAUAAAAAAUAUGGUUUUUCAUAGACGUUAGAAUAGUUAGGUUUUACCCGAUAAGAUAAGGACCUCCUUAUUGAGGAGGACUUUUCUUGAACCAUAGACGGACCAACAUACAUAGACAGUUAGAAGGAUUAGGUUUUACCCCUUAAGAUAAGGACCUCCUUAUUGAGGAGAACUUUUCUUGGACCAUAGACGGACCAACAUACAUAUACAUUAGGAGGAUUAGGUUUUACCCGAUAAGAUAAGGACCUCCUUAUUGAGGAGGACUUUUCUUGAACCAUAGACGGACCAACAACUAGGAAACACAACGAGACCUUGAAUUUGAUCAGACAAAUAAACAAUGCAGCUUACCUUAGGUAGGGCGUAUUUGGGGUGCUAAUACCUUCCCUUUACGCAACCAGUCCCCGUACCUAAUCUCUGAGACCAGUUAGGGUUCCUAGUGACCAAAAUACUAGGUGGCGACUCCCAUUCCAUUUUCCUACCAACAAAAGACUAUUUUCUUGUCUCCCCACAUUUGCCAGAUAAAUACCAUACACACUUCCUAGAUUCUAAAAAGUGGAAUUUUCGCCGCGACGCCGCGCACCCCGCGACAUCCGGUAUAGGGGAGGUGCUGUCGAAUUUUUUUUUUACAUUUGAAUUUAAUUAUAUAAUUAUUUGUAUCAAAUUGUGUAGAUGCGUAAAACAAAAACCAGAGCUGGUCGCUCAGGUGCGGUCGCAGCUAGUUCGUCUAACAGCGAGGAUGAUAUUUCCUUAGGUGCCUCUCAAGAAGAGGCACCUACACCACCUGCGCCGUCAACCGAUGCUGCCUCUUCCAGCGGUACUUCACAACGCAGAGGCGGCGUGCCUUCGCAGCGGAAUCAAUUUACCCGCAAGUACGAGGCACAGUGGAAGGACGACCUUUCAAUGUAAGUUUGUUAAGGUUUUAGUUUUUUUAAAAAAAAUUACAACAUAAUUUAUGAAGUAAUCACUAUUGAAUUUAUUUCAUUUAUUUUCAGGUUCACAAACAUUGAAGCCGCCCGAGUAAUAUCAUCGGCGUUUAAAUCGUCGAUGGAGAUUCCAUUGUUUCAAUGGAGUUAGAUAUCCAAGCAUCCUGAAUGGAUGCCUCAAAUCAAUGCAUGGUUUAACAGGUUUGAGGUUGGUAUUAAUUUAUAAUUUUCAGCUUAUUAAUAUAAUUGUAAAUAAAUUAUUAUUUUUAUUUAAACUUGUUUAUUUAUACACAGCACAAAUUCUGCUGGGACAUUGAGCAUAACACUGUUGUGAGGAGGGUGUGGGAAAAUCACGCGGCAACUAGGUAAGAUCGAAAACAAUACAGGUUUUUUUUUAGACAAAAAUUUAUGUUUCGAAAUGUAAUUUUUGGUUGCGUGAAGUAGGUUGCGUGAUUUUUGGUAUGAAGCACAGAAAAAGGCAAAAAAAACCGCGAGGGAUAAGGGUUUCCAAGGCUGGAAUGAUGUUGCGGUUUGGAGGGAUUUCAAACCGAUAUACAUCCCGGAAUAUAUAUGGCCGCACUAUCUUGAGCACAUGACGUCUGAGCGGUUCACACGACGCUCACAGUCCGGUUCUGGCAACCGGAAUCGGCCAAUUCAUGGCGGGGUGACAACGCACACUGGCGGCUCCGUUCCGUUUGCUGCACAUGCGAAACGGAUGGUAAGAUUAAUUUAAAUGAAAUAUAUCGUUAAAUUCAGUUGUUGUUAAUAUAUCUUUUUUCAUUAUAGGCCGCGUCUCUUGGACAUGAGCCGAGCCCGAUGGAGCUGUUUGUGGAGACGCACGUGCGGAGUCAAGACCGCCAGAAGGGGGCGCAACAGUUCGUUGAUAACCGUGCUCAGCAUUUCGUGGUAUGUUUGUUCAACCAUUUUAUUUUGUAAGUUAUUAUGUAAGUUAUUAUGUUUAUUGUAUUGAAUAUGAUGAUUACUUUUUAUUUUUAUUUUCAGGAGACAUAUAAUAAUCGGUUGAGGGAGAGAUACGGGGACGAUACUUUGACCCAUCCGGAAUUCGAUCCGGAUUUGUGGAUGGAGGUUGGCUCGUCAGGUGGACCCGAUAAAAAUCGGGUUUACGGGCUCUCCAACAGUAUGGCCGACAACUUGCGGUCGACCCGUAGUGUUUCAACCGUUGGGAGCUCCCAAUCAAUAUCGAGCUCCCAAUCUAAGGAGUUCGUGGCUUUGCAGCAACUCGCCGAGAAAUACGAUAACCUAAAAGCGGAGUACGCACAACUCAAAGCGUUUCAUGCACAACAAAGAGCGGAACAAAGAGCAGAGUCUGAGCAACUCAAAGCGUCUCAAGCACAACAAAAAGCGGAGUAUGAAGCGGCUCAUGAACAGCAAAAAGCGGCUUAUGAACAGCUCCACGAAAUGAUUAUGAAAUUGUCAAAUAGCGGAACAUGUGCGCCUAAUCUUUUUUGGCUGUAUAACCACCAGACUCCGCCAGGAUCUCCACCUCCUCCUCCAGCUCCAUCAUCUUUAUAUUAAUUUGUAAUCAACAUUAUUUACCUUUAAAACUUCAUUUAAUAUUUUUCUUGAAACAUAUUCAGUUUGUAAUGAAUAUUAUUUAACUUUGUUUUUUUUUAUGUUUAAUAUAAAUUUUAUUUGCAUAAUUGGUUUGUAUUACAAUUAAUUUAUAUAGUUUUAUAUUAUAUAUCCUAAAUAAUUUUUUAAAAACAAAUUAAGAAAAAAACUAUUACCAAGGAUUUUACCGACGGAUGAAUUCGGUCGGUAUUUUAAACACUCACCGACAGCCUUACCGACAGAAUUAAUCCGUCGGCAUGUAACAGUAGCUUCCACAAUUACCGACGAAUUUACAGACGGACAUAUUCUGUCGGUAUUUCAUACAGUCCCCGACAGAUUUACCGACGGGUAGUUUCCGUCGGUCAAUCACAAUAUACCGACGGACUAAAAAUCCGUCGGUAUAUUUCAAGCGGGAAUCUUUUUUUUUUGGCGCGCAAAUUCCGUCUGUAAAACCAUCGGCAAAUGGUUUUUUUGUUUUUCCGACCGAUAUAGCGACGGAAUGGGGAAUCACCGACGAAGGGAAAGCCGACGGACGUAAUCCGUCGGUGAUGAUGUCGGUAAAAAAAUCACCGACAAACUUCUAAUCACACACCGACGGAAUUUUUCCAUCGGUAAAACUGUGAAAUCUUGUAGUGUUUUUGACUUAAAAUACCUAGCAAAACACUCUAGAGAUCUUGUUAAACCAAUCCAUUAUCACAAAAAAGCCAAAAAACCACCUCAAAACCCGAAAUCCACCUGGAACAAAAAUUCUUUCCGAGCUAAGAUCUGUUGUUUUAGCCUAAAAAUGGAUCCGGUUGCAACGCCAAAUCUAAAUAUUCCGAUUUUAUCCUUAUUUAUUUUUUUAAUAUAAAAUGUAUAUAAUUACAAAAGACAAUUUUACUUUUAUUGCAUGUUUAGCAAGUUUUAUCGUUACAUUGUUUGAUGAACAAUAAUUUAUAUACAGAUAAACAAUAACAUGUGACUUGUUGCUACCCAAUUUUUGACCCAUGUUUUGAUAAAUUUUUAAAAAAAUUCAAAAAUAGCGAAAAACAUUGAAAACCCAAAAAAUACAUUUUUUAUAUAUUUGCAUCGUUUUUAGCAUUUUCAGCGUCGUCUAAAAAGAAUUUAAAUUUUCAAAGGUCUUUCGAACGCGUUCAACUUUUAACGCGUUAAUUUUAAAAUCAUUGAUUUUCCUCAUUGAGUCGACGUUGAUAUUGCUCGUUUUCAAAAAUACAAAAAAAUUAAAGAAAAUCAAAUUUAAAAAAAAAAAAGAAAGUUGAGGAAUCAAGUUUGAGGUCCAAACAAUAUUUUACGGAAUUUUAAAUAUCAGAGGGGGAGGCAACCAGCCGCUCCCCCUGGCCCAAGACCAUUGGAUCCCUCUCUUUCGGCUGAAAAGCAGGAACUCAGCUCCCCACUUCUUUUCCUUUUUUCCAGCCGACAACAGGCCCUCCUCACAAGGAGGAACCCCUAUUUCUUGUCAUCUCCAGCUACACACCAGAGGGGGGGGAUAGUCCCAGAUUUUUCUUCUUCCUGACAGCCGUGGGCAGGGGCCCACGGCUCCCCAAUCUCACUUCCUUCUCUCACAGCCAUCAUCAGCCCUGCCCCUCUCAUCGCCAUUUCCCCUGCCAUUUCAGCCUUCCACCUCUGCCUCUCCACCCUCACAGCAGACCAGCCACAAGCCUCACGUCUGCCCCUGACAUCUCCCCCCUGGAUUUUCUUCUCUACUCCCUCAACUGCACAGCCGGCCCUUUCCCCUUGAUUUUUUUCCUCUCAUCUUCUUCCCCUCAGCAGCCGGCACAAACAGCAGCCCAGCCCUCCUAGACCCAUAUAGACCCAGCACCAGCUCCCACAGCACCGUUUCCCUCCAGCUUCUUCACCCAAAACCAUCCUUCCAUCUCCAAUUUUCUGCCCACUCAAGACAGCCCCUCACCUCCUCUCUUACUCCGAUCUUCACUCAUCAAUCGGCCAUAGACCAACAACAGCCACGAAUUAGCUCCCCCUUCCACAGAUCCUCUCUCUCAGCUGCUCCCUUCUCCAGCCGCAGCGGCGCCUUCUUCAUCCGGCAGCACCCAGCAGAGCCUUCCUUCUCCAGCUCCUCCCUCACAAAUCGCCCUGCAGCCGACAUCCAGCAGCGAGACCCAAGACCAACAGCAGCGAAGGAAGACCAUCAACGCCGGCCCCCAGCGGUGGCAGCAGCAGCAGCAUCGCCCACAGGCGCGGAGUAGUCCGCCUUCUCCCUCCGGUGGCGCCUGCAGUUUCGGUUUCCUCAACUCUCUCCUCCUGAACCAGCGGCCAGCUCGCCGCCUCUAGCAGCAACACCACUCUCUCGUCUGUUCCUCCUUGCCGCUCCAGCACAUGGAGCAGAGGAGAAGAAGAGGAUGACCGAAGGAGACCGAUCUGCAGUGAAGCAGAUCCAAAGAACCCGAACGAACCAGAUUUGAAAAGGGGAAAGGAAGGGAAGCCGAUCUGAAAACAAGAUUAAAACAGACUUGCUUGUUGCGUUUUGUUGUUUUGCAGGUAACGGCGUUGUCGCCGCCGGCAAGGAAGAGAAGAGGGGAGAAAGCCAUUUCUGGCCCCCCUGUUUCUGGUUUGAUUUCACGGCGGCGCGUGGACCCACGCGCCGCCAGCGGCGGUGGUGCGUGAGAUCCACGCGCCGCCACUGUCCUUGCUGUUCCAGAGGUCUUCACAGCACUAUUCCAGCGACUCAGAGGUUACCAGCACUGUCCCGGAUUGUUUUGGGUCAUUUUUUGGAAUUUUAGAAUUGUUUAAUGUUAUAUUUGUGUAAUUUUGAGUUUUUCUUUUCAUAGUUUGUAUUUUAUAUUUUAUGUAAAUGUGGAUGUAGAAGAAAAGAAAGAAAAGAAAAGAAAAAGAAAUGUUUGUGUGUGUUUGUUUUUUUUUUAUUUAUAUUAUUGAAUUAAAAAAAAAAAAGGACAAAAAGAAUUAAUUGUUAAUUUAAAUAUGCACAAAUAUCUAAAGGACAGAUAAAAAUCAUGUUGUAUUUCCCAUAAAAAUGUAGAACAUGUAUCUACAUAUAUUUUGGGAAUGAAUAACUGAUUUAUCAAAGCCUUAGAAUUGGGCUAAAAUUUUAUUUUUAAAAUGCAUCAAGUCCACGAAGCAGCUUACCUCAGGUAGGGUGUGUUAGGGGUGCUAAUACCUUCCCUAACCACAACCAGUCCCUUACCCAUGAAUCUCUGACAAGACCAGUAUAUCCGGUUUCCUAGUAGCCCGCAAUUAAUUACUAGGUGGCGACUCCAACGAACCAAGUAAAACGAACAACGAUAAAAUCGCCAGCCGAUGCCGCGCGGAUUUUUUUGACGUGCGACAGAAUGGCGACUCCGCUGGGGAAGGUAUUGUUUCUGACGAUAUUGGACUAAGCUUUGUGUAUUUGAUGUGUUUAUGUUUUUGCAUUUUUGUCUUGUUUUAUUUUUGUUUUAUUCAUGCAUUUUGUAGAAUUGUCUCAUGCAUCACAUAUUUUGAUUUUUCAAAGCACACACAAGCUUCAGGUUAGGAGGGGGACUAGCAGCUUACCUUAUGACUUUUAGUCAAGGUUUAAGUUUGUGUAAACCCCAACUCUUUGUUGAGUGCUUAGACUGGUAAUAGUUGGACAUGUGCCAUCUCAUUGCCUACAAGCCCCCAUAUUGCCUCCACGAGGGCAAUCACUGGGACAACAAGAGACCCUUUUUAGAGACCAAGUAGUAAACCUAUCUUUUGUCUCACUUAAAAAGAUUAGAACCUGCCUUUAGGAUGUGUGCUCCGUAUAUAUUGUUUUGCAUCAGGGCAAACCCUUCUUGAAGCAUCUUGAACUCAAGACUUUUGGGUGACCCAAUGGCCGUCACUCAGAAAAUUUUCAUUGUAGAGUUUGGGCAAGAAUCAAGAUUCUUGUUUCAUCAUACAAGAGUUACGACCAUAUGUCACCCCUCGAAGGGCGAGUUCUUCAUAUAGUUUACAUGUUCAUACAUUUAUCAUGCAUGUACCGGGAGGAAAAAUAGGUUCCCCCAUCCGAGCUUUGCUACACCUGAUUGAACAAAGAUGAUGAGAAAUGAAGAAAGGAGUCAAAGAGAAGCUCAUUAUCAAAGGGGAGUUGAGAGCAUCAAAGUAGCUAGACUCAGAUCUCCCUAAACAAGUGUUAAGCAUCAAAUGGAAAGAGAAUGUCUGCACAAUCUUCUGUGGAAACACUGCUUGUCCACGUCCAAGUGAAGCUGCACCUCUCCAUUUCAGUCCUGAACAACAACAGCAAUGCCUUCAGUCAUCAACUAAUGACAACUCUGUUCUUGUUCAGUUGCCCUGUUAAUUGUUCAUCGCCUCCACAUCUUUCAAUGGCACCAAAUAAUUGCUAGCCUUCUGUGCAUGAUGCAUUAGCCUUCUUUGAGGUUACCCUCACUGUGAGCUUAAUUCCAGUUCAAAAAAAAACAAAAAACAAAAAAAAAACAAAAAAAACCAUGAUUAGACACUGAACUUCAAUGUGGCAGAGCUCUCUCUACAAAAAUCUGUUUAUGGCUCUGCAAGUUGGGAAUGCAAGAGGGGAUUUAUAAGUUGCAUAUGCUAUAAAAAUCUCUCAUCAGUUUCAGCACAAAAACACUACAGUAGGUUGAAGAGCCAGACAUGGUCUGAAAAACAUGAACAAACACCAAACUUCUACGUUGCAGAGCUCUCUCUGUAGAGAUUGUUUUGGGGAUCUGCCAGUGGGGAAUGCAAGAGGGGAUGCAGUACUUUCAUAUGCUACAAAACUUUGGCUCAUCAGUUUCAGCACUGAAACACUGGAGUAGGCCGAAGAGUCAGACCUAGUCUGAAAACAUGAGCAGUCGUCGAACUUUGACGUGGCAGAGCUCUCUCUACAAAAACCUGUUUAUGGCUCUGCAAGUGGGGAAUUCAAGAGGGGAUGUAGUAGUUCUAGACAAUGUGAAAAGUUACCCCACCAGCUUCAGCAUCGAAACACUGUAGUAGGCAGAAAAGCCAGACUUGAGCUAGAAAACAGGAGCAAAUAUAGAACUUCACCGUGGCAGAGCUCUCUCUGCAGAAACCUGUUUGUAGAUCUGCAAGUGGAGAAUCCAAGAAGGGAUGCAGUAGUUUCUGAUCAUCUAUAAUUUUCUCUCAUCGGUGUUAGCUUGAAAAUGCAAAAGAAGGGAAAAGAGACAAACCUCGGCUGAAAAAUAGAAAGAAGAUUGAAACUUCAACAGAGCAGAGCUCCCUCUACAGGUGUCUGUUUGCUGCACCAUCAGUGAGGAAUCAAAGAGGAGACAAAGGAGUUUCAGAUUCAUCAGUUUCUCCUCCAAUAAAAACAAUGCACAUUUCAUGCAGUGACAGUGAUAGCGCUGCAUGAUUCUAUGCGCUGGCAAGAUUACCUAGCUGUUGGAAGGUUUCCAACAAUCCACAAAGGACCACAACAACAUUGGAAGAAUGACAUGAUGUUGUGAAGAUCAUCAAAAGAAUUGAGCUAGCUGUCAAGAUGGGAAAGAUUGAAGGAUCUGCCAUGGAUUCCAGAACUGUGAAGAGAUGAAUCAGGAGAUGACUCUGAAAACGGGAAACCAUAGUUAUGUGGUUUAGUCAAGUCUCACUGUAGCACCAGCUACUCAAGUGUCGUUGCCAAGAUUGACAUCUUUCUGCCACCCAAGUUGGACUACUAGCAUCUGUCAGAUUCCAGACUUUUUGCCUAACUCUGUUAAAUCCCAUGCAACCACUGUUUCUUAUGUGAUCCAAACAAGAGAUUUGAAUAUCAUGGGGGGAUUUCAGGCCAUUCAGUUGAAUAAUUGCAAGAAUCGAGUCCGCAAAUUGGUGAGCAAAAGACGAGAGGAAUCUGUGAAGGAGCUUGUCAUCGAUCAUUUUAUCGCCAGAACAUCCUCAGAAUGACGAGUGAUCGAAAUUGCUCGGUAAACACAGAUAUUGCCAGAAUAGUUGAUCCAAGAAGGGCGUUGAACUGUCAAUCAUGUUGUUAUGGAAUUUUUGCCAUUCUGCAUUUUGUUUUGGGGUCACAUCUCAUCCUUGAACGAAACAUGUCUUUUCUUUGUCUUUUUGUUGUUUUGAAAUCAAGAGAUGCUUCUUUCAAAGGGUAUUUUGACAAAAAUAUUUUUUUGAUCAAACUCCAACAUACAAAAUUAAAGCUAGUCAAUCCUGAAGAUUAAAAGUGUUUUGAUUGCGGAAAUGACUUGAUGCUUGAAAAGGACAUGAGGUGACCAAACAAUUUUGAACUCAUAUCUCCUGAAACUGAACAACACAUCAUAUAACUAAGUUUUAGCAGUAUGCAUAAUGACAUGUAGUGGAUUCGGUAGUUAUGGACUCGUGAAUCAUGACUCUUACAAGUCCAAAUCAUUACACUAGAUGAGGUCAAAAUUUAUCGAUUCUAACCGACUUUGCUUGAAAUGAGAAAAGGCCAUCUUCGAUAUCCCUUCACUUUCUAAAGAUUAUAUCCCUUGCAGUCCUAUUUUGAGCCUGGUAAAAUAUUCUCUUUCAAAAAGAAACCUUGACUAGGAUCACACCCCACACUGGGGGCAAUGAGAGAUAUGUUAUUAGGAAGGAUGAAGACACUGAUAGAAUCAAUGAUAAAAGAAAGGCUUAGAAUAAAAGCCCAAUGAUUGAGAAAGGGAGAACAAGAAAAGCCAUAGAUUGAGGGUCAUCCAAGAAAACUUUGAGGAAGGUUAUGUAAAAGCAAAAAAAAAAAAAAAAGGUGGAAAUGAAGGAGAAUGCCUAUCAAUUCUAAGAGGGGCAAAAAAGGUUUCAAUGGAAGAAAGACACAACAAAUGUCAAAAGUCAACACCAAAAAAAUCAAGUUUCAUGUCUUUUGGUGUGUCUAGGAUAAAGCCUUUAGUGUCUUCAAAAUUUUUUAGAUUCAUUAUUCAUCAGAGAUAAAGUUGGAUUAGCAUUAUGACCUAUGUUAAGAGAAUUCUGAUAUUUGAGAUAAACAAGGUUAUAUAUCACUUUCUCUACUAUGACAACAAGAGAAAGAGAGUUGAUGAAUAGUUGAUGUUGAUCUUAGGUCUUUGAAACCCUCAAACACCUAUUGAGCUUUGAAAAUUCCUUUCUUUCAUAGCCAUGAACCAUAGCCUACAUUACGUGCUCUUAAAAGCCCUUUUUAAUCAAGUAAACAAUUUGAACCGAUAAAUGGCGCUCUAAAAAACUUGAAGAGUUGUUCUAUAAGGGUCGUGACUUCAUGGAUUAAGCUACUGGUUAUUAUGCAUGCUGAUAAAAUUGAUGCUAAAAAAAAAAGAAAACAAUCUUUCUUGAUGAAUCCUCAAGUUUUGACUUGAGCCUUUUGUUUCUUGAAAUUCACAGAAGGUCACCUCAUCGCAGACCAUCAAAAGAUAUACCCAAGAUCAAAGAUUAAAACUGACAAAGAACCAUGAAAAAAAACCAUUUUAGUCUUACAACGGGUCAAUUUCUGUUUUCAAAAUACAUGACAAUCAAAGGACUGUAUAUUUCGAAUAACGUGUGUUGGAUCUUUGGCCGAAGAAACUUGAUUUUCAAAAACUAACAUCUCUCUGAUUUCAUUUCAACAACUAGACUUUGAAUUGACAUGAUCUUUGAAAUAUGAGAGUUGAUUCCAGAACAAGAAAGAUUGUUAAACAACAAGAACAUCGACCGAAUUUGCAAAAUCCUUGACAAGAAUGACAACAACAUUUCUCGACACUCCUUGAAAAGUUGACUGCUUGGAGGUAAUACAGUGGAUCAUGGGUAGGAAAACAAACAGUAUUCAGAUCAGCUGGGGGCAAUGAAAGAUGAUCAAAGGAUGAAUCAAUGCACUGAGGACAAUGGUGUUUAAAGAAAGCUAAUCAGCAGAACAAGCACAUUCAGAUCAUUACUCGGGGCAAUGUUGUUCAAAGACAGUCAGUGAUUUAGUGAACUUCAGCAGCAAUUGAUGAGCAACGCUGCACUUGAAGGGCAUUUUAUUAUCUUCAUCUUGGGGUUACCCUUUGAAACAUGGCUAUGACAGAUGUUAUCUCAUAGUUGCAUUAGAAUGAAUGUCAGAAAGAUGCACACCACCAAGACUGACUGUGGGACCAUCUAUUCUGAAGCUCAAAUGCGCACUUCACCGCAUGAAUAUGGGUGAUGAACAUCAUUGAUGAUGCCAACACAUUUCCUUUCAUGAUCUGAUUUGACAAGCUGAGAAGAAUCCAUGGAGAAGAACAUUGAGCUUACAACGAUGAGCCUUUUUUACUGCAAGAGGAUAAUUCUUAGAAGGAUCCAGGAGAGAAAAUCCUUCACGAUGAAUCAAGCAACACCACACUUGGGGGCAGAGUCAAGUGAUAAACAGCAAGAGCAGUAACCGUCGAAGACAGCCCAGGAUGUGCACUGCACUUACAACUGAGGGGAUGGCUAGCACAUGAAUGAGCCAAUGCAUCGAAAGAACCAAUAAAGCUUUGGAAUGCAAACAAAGGCACCCUAUAACGAUGGAUCAUCAAAGGGAGGGGCCUAUAUUUCACAUCAGGUAAGGAUGCAUGCAUGUCAUCUAACCUCAAAGCAUUGCACAUACUUGUGAUUUGUUACAGAAAGAUCCUCAAUGAAGUCCAGCAAGAUUAUGGACAAAGAAAGAAUCAUUGAGUCGAUAAUAACAGAGAAUCAUGGUUGUGACCUUGAAACGGGAAGAAGAUGAGAUAAACCUUACUGUUAGGAAAAUCUCAAAGAAAUGAAAAGAUCAACCUUGCAAUCAGAAAGCAUCGAGUUUUCAAACCCUGCGAUCAAGAAUUAUCAAGAAGCACCAAGUUUUCUGCCCUUCUUCUAUCAUCCCUUCAGGACUUCGCCAGGUAAGUCCCAUUUUUCACACUUGUCACAUCACAUCUUUCAUUUGGGUAGGUCACCCAUAACAAUGAGACCAUUUCAUAUUUUUUCUAUCCUCCACCUGGGUAGGUCACCCAUUACAAUGAGACCACUUCAUAUUUUUUCUAUCCUCCACCUGGGUAGGUCACCCAUAACAAUGAGACCACUUCACAUUUUUUCUAUCUUCCACUUGGGUAGGUCACCCAUAACAAUGAGACCACUUCAUAUUUUUUAUAUCCUCCAUCUGGGUAGGUCACCCAUUACAAUGAGACCACUUCAUAUUUUUUCUAUCCUCCACCUGGGUAGGUCACCCAUAACAAUGAGACCACUUCAUAUUUGUUCUAUCUUCCAUCUGGGUAGGUCACCCAUUAUAACGCGACCACUUCACUUUUUUUCUAUCUUCCACCUGGGUAGGUCACCCAUUAUAACACGACCACUUCACAUUUUUUCUAUCUUCCACCUGGGUAGGUCACCCAUUAUAAUGAGACCGCACUUCACAUUCUUUCCGUUUGGGUAGGUCACCCAUCAUAAUGAGACCAUUUUCCAUCAUUUUUUCUUGGGUUCGUCACCCAUACAAUGAGACCAUCAUUUUUUUCUUGGGUUCGUCACCCAUACAAUGAGACCAUCAUUUUUUUCUUGGGUUAGUCACCCAUACAAUGAGACCAUCAUUUUUCUGGGGUUCGUCACCCAUACAAUGAGACCACCAUUUUUCUUGAGUUCGUCACCCAUACAAUGAGACCACCAUUUUUCUUGGGUUCGUCACCCAUACAAUGAGACCAUCAUUUUUCUGGGGUUCGUCACCCAUACAAUGAGACCAUCAUUUUUCUGGGGUUCGUCACCCAUACAAUGAGACCAUCAGUUUUCUUGGGUUCGUCACCCAUACAAUGAGACCAUUUGUUCCACAUUCUUUGUUUUGGUUUAAUGAGGUCGCCAGAUGGGAUCUCAUGUAGCUUUGGUUAAAGGGAAUCGCCAGAUGGGAUUUCAGGUUAACCGAGUUACGUAACAUCUUUUAGUUUUGGUUUAAUGAGGUCGCCAGAUGGGAUCUCAUGUAGCUUUGGUUAAAGGGAAUCGCCAGAUGGGAUUUCAGGUUGACCGAGCUACCACACAUUUUUUUAGUUCCAGUUGAAUGAGGUUGCCAGAUGGAAUCUCAUGUAGCUUUGGUUAAAGGGAAUCGCCAGAUGGGAUUUCAGGUUGACCGAGCUACCACACAUUUUUAAGUUCAAAUUGAAUGAGGUCGCCAGAUGGGAUCUCAUGUAGCUUUGGUUAAAGGGAAUCGCCAGAUGGGAUUUCAGGUUGACCGAGCUACCACACAUUUUUUAGUUCCAGUUGAAUGAGGUCGCCAGAUGGGAUCUCAUGUAGCUUUGGUUAAAGGGAAUCGCCAGAUGGGAUUUCAGGUUGACCGAGCUACACACAUUCUUUGGUUUUGAAAAAGGAGAUCGCCAGAUGGGAUCUCAAGUUAACAAAAAAAAAAAAAGGAAAGAAACAUUUAGAGUUUUUCUUUACAAAGCUUACUAUGCGAAACAUUGAGGAGUUUUGCUUCGUAAGCAUUGUAAAGAGGGGGCAUCUGUUGCUACCCAAUUUUUGACCCAUGUUUUGAUAAAUUUUUAAAAAAAUUCAAAAAUAGCGAAAAACAUUGAAAACCCAAAAAAUACAUUUUUUAUAUAUUUGCAUCGUUUUUAGCAUUUUCAGCGUCGUCUAAAAAGAAUUUAAAUUUUCAAAGGUCUUUCGAACGCGUUCAACUUUUAACGCGUUAAUUUUAAAAUCAUUGAUUUUCCUCAUUGAGUCGACGUUGAUAUUGCUCGUUUUCAAAAAUACAAAAAAAUUAAAGAAAAUCAAAUUUAAAAAAAAAAAAGAAAGUUGAGGAAUCAAGUUUGAGGUCCAAACAAUAUUUUGCGGAAUUUUAAAUAUCAGAGGGGGAGGCAACCAGCCGCUCCCCCUGGCCCAAGACCAUUGGAUCCCUCUCUUUCGGCUGAAAAGCAGGAACUCAGCUCCCCACUUCUUUUCCUUUUUUCCAGCCGACAACAGGCCCUCCUCACAAGGAGGAACCCCUAUUUCUUGUCAUCUCCAGCUACACACCAGAGGGGGGGGAUAGUCCCAGAUUUUUCUUCUUCCUGACAGCCGUGGGCAGGGGCCCACGGCUCCCCAAUCUCACUUCCUUCUCUCACAGCCAUCAUCAGCCCUGCCCCUCUCAUCGCCAUUUCCCCUGCCAUUUCAGCCUUCCACCUCUGCCUCUCCACCCUCACAGCAGACCAGCCACAAGCCUCACGUCUGCCCCUGACAUCUCCCCCCUGGAUUUUCUUCUCUACUCCCUCAACUGCACAGCCGGCCCUUUCCCCUUGAUUUUUUUCCUCUCAUCUUCUUCCCCUCAGCAGCCGGCACAAACAGCAGCCCAGCCCUCCUAGACCCAUAUAGACCCAGCACCAGCUCCCACAGCACCGUUUCCCUCCAGCUUCUUCACCCAAAACCAUCCUUCCAUCUCCAAUUUUCUGCCCACUCAAGACAGCCCCUCACCUCCUCUCUUACUCCGAUCUUCACUCAUCAAUCGGCCAUAGACCAACAACAGCCACGAAUUAGCUCCCCCUUCCACAGAUCCUCUCUCUCAGCUGCUCCCUUCUCCAGCCGCAGCGGCGCCUUCUUCAUCCGGCAGCACCCAGCAGAGCCUUCCUUCUCCAGCUCCUCCCUCACAAAUCGCCCUGCAGCCGACAUCCAGCAGCGAGACCCAAGACCAACAGCAGCGAAGGAAGACCAUCAACGCCGGCCCCCAGCGGUGGCAGCAGCAGCAGCAUCGCCCACAGGCGCGGAGUAGUCCGCCUUCUCCCUCCGGUGGCACCUGCAGUUUCGGUUUCCUCAACUCUCUCCUCCUGAACCAGCGGCCAGCUCGCCGCCUCUAGCAGCAACACCACUCUCUCGUCUGUUCCUCCUUGCCGCUCCAGCACAUGGAGCAGAGGAGAAGAAGAGGAUGACCGAAGGAGACCGAUCUGCAGUGAAGCAGAUCCAAAGAACCCGAACGAACCAGAUUUGAAAAGGGGAAAGGAAGGGAAGCCGAUCUGAAAACAAGAUUAAAACAGACUUGCUUGUUGCGUUUUGUUGUUUUGCAGGUAACGGCGUUGUCGCCGCCGGCAAGGAAGAGAAGAGGGGAGAAAGCCAUUUCUGGCCCCCCUGUUUCUGGUUUGAUUUCACGGCGGCGCGUGGACCCACGCGCCGCCAGCGGCGGUGGUGCGUGAGAUCCACGCGCCGCCACUGUCCUUGCUGUUCCAGAGGUCUUCACAGCACUAUUCCAGCGACUCAGAGGUUACCAGCACUGUCCCGGAUUGUUUUGGGUCAUUUUUUGGAAUUUUAGAAUUGUUUAAUGUUAUAUUUGUGUAAUUUUGAGUUUUUCUUUUCAUAGUUUGUAUUUUAUAUUUUAUGUAAAUGUGGAUGUAGAAGAAAAGAAAGAAAAGAAAAGAAAAAGAAAUGUUUGUGUGUGUUUGUUUUUUUUUUAUUUAUAUUAUUGAAUUAAAAAAAAAAAAGGACAAAAAGAAUUAAUUGUUAAUUUAAAUAUGCACAAAUAUCUAAAGGACAGAUAAAAAUCAUGUUGUAUUUCCCAUAAAAAUGUAGAACAUGUAUCUACAUAUAUUUUGGGAAUGAAUAACUGAUUUAUCAAAGCCUUAGAAUUGGGCUAAAAUUUUAUUUUUAAAAUGCAUCAAGUCCACGAAGCAGCUUACCUCAGGUAGGGUGUGUUAGGGGUGCUAAUACCUUCCCUAACCACAACCAGUCCCUUACCCAUGAAUCUCUGACAAGACCAGUAUAUCCGGUUUCCUAGUAGCCCGCAAUUAAUUACUAGGUGGCGACUCCAACGAACCAAGUAAAACGAACAACGAUAAAAUCGCCAGCCGAUGCCGCGCGGAUUUUUUUGACGUGCGACAUGACUAAACUAAUAUAAUUAUAUGUAAUAUUUACAGGAAAUAGCUGAAAUAAUUCCCUUCCGGGUACCAGAACCAGCCACAGCCGGACUAGGCCAGGCGGGCAGAAUAGUUAAUGAUCGAUGGCAAAACUGUGGUCGACCGUGGUGUUGGAAUGAAUUGACAGUCCUCCUCCUAGGCAUGUCCAAGAAACAAACUUACCAGGACGUAUUUAUUGGUCUGCAUUCUAUCAGUGCGCCCCAUUUAUUAGCCUCAACUAUAAAUCAUAACCAUUAACCCCUUGUACCGUCAUCAUCUUUUAACCACUUCCCUUUCAUCUCAUCUUUUUGGCCUCCAUUUCAUCAUAUUUUGUUUUUUUUAUGUUUUUUAUAUUAAAUUAAUUUUUUAAAUUUUUAAAUUUUUUUUACAUAUUUAUAUAAAAUAUAAAUUAUAAAAAAUAUUUUCAUAUAUUUUGAAAUAAAAAAAACAAUUUUUAAAACGAUAUCAAUUCAACAAUAGCUGCCGACUUUUGACAGUUUCCAUGUAUUUUCAGAGAACUAGGUGCAGGUUUAGAUACGAAGAAUUUAACCUCAUCACAACAACAAAUAAAAUAUUUUUUGAAAAAAUAUUAAUAUGUGAGCAUCAUACGUACACGUGUGUGUGUGUGUGAUGAGAAAUUAAGUUAAUCAUUUGAGAUGCGUCGAAGAUUUGAAGACUAGAAGUAAGGAUCGAGGGAAGAGGAAACAAGGAAAAAAUUAUUUAUAACUCGCCAAAUGUUGCUGACACUUGUACUCUGUACCCACAGCGAGGCUCGGCAACAGAACUAGAUUAAACUAAUAAUUAACGCUUUAUCUUGAGUAGAAUCUUUAACGCUCUACUGACCUCGACUUUGGUUUCCAAUGAUUUCUUACUCGUCGAUGAAAGUGUCUAAUGAGAGAGGUUUUAAUUAUUUUUUAAAGAUGCCAGAGAUCCAAGUAUUCUGAUUUUAUUUUUAUUUUUUUAAUAUCAAAUAUAUAUAAUAACAAAAGAUAAUUUUACUGUUAGUUUCAUCGUUACAUUGUCCGAUGAACAAUAAUUUAUAUACAGAUGAACAGGAACGUGAUAUUGAACUAAAAUAAUUAUAGGUAAUAUUUGUAAAAAAUAGUUGAAAUAAUCCCCUUUCGAGUACAGAGUAACAGGACGGAGCCACAGCCAGAUUGGGCCAUGCGGGCAGAAUAAUUAAUGAUUGAUGGCAAAACUGUGGUCGUAUUUAUUGGUCCUGCAUACUAUCUCAACUAUAAAUCAUAACCAUUAACCCCUUGUACCGUCAUCAUCAUUUAGCCGCUACCCUUUCAUCUCCUCUGUUUUUGGGCUCCAUUUCAGCAUUUUUUUUUUCUGUUUUUUAUAUUAAAUUAAUUUUUUUCAUUUCUAAUUUUUUUUACAUAUUAAUAUCAAAAAUAAAAUAUAACAAAUAUUUUAAUAUAUUUUGAAAUAAAAAAACAAAUUUAAAACGAUAUCAAUUCAACAAUAGCUGCCGACUUUUGACAGUUUCCAUGUAUUUUCAGAGAACUACGUGCAGGGUUAGAUACGAAGAAUUUAACCUCAUCACAACAACAAAUAAAAUAUUUUUUGAAAAAAUAUUAAUAUGUGAGCAUCAUACGUACACGUGUGUGUGUGUGUGGUGAGAAAUUAAGUUGGUCAUUUGAGAUGCGUCAAAGUCUUGACUAGAAGUAAGGAUAGAGGGAAGAGGAAACAAGGAAUAUUCAGUGGAUCAAUGACAUGCUAUGCUAAAAAUAAUUCAGUGUGUUGAAUGUAAACAUGCUUUAAUUUCAACAAAUUUUUAAUUUAAUUUCAAUAUAAUUUUUAAUUAAUUUUAAAAUUAAAUAAUAAUUUAAAAACUUGAGAGUUUGAACUAACACAUAUAAAUCACGAUGAAAUUUCAACCUCUUUAUAACUCCUACAUAAUAUCUUCAAAUCAAUUGUAUUGUAAUUUUGAUAUUUUUAAAUAUUCUUAAAUGAUGAAAAAAAAUCACCAGCUGAAAAAACGUUAACUAGUCUAUGUUAAAAGUCUAUUGACACGUGCUCUAUCUUGGUUAGAUUAAUUUUUUUAAAACAUAAAAAAGACUAUUGAGAGCACGAAGAGUUUUUUUUUUUAUAAUGUUAUGAACUCUGAUCAAAUAGGUCAAUCCUAAAACCUUUUGUCUUAGCUGUUUGUCUAAUUCAAGUUUUAAAUUAAAUCAUGUGAGAGCUAGUCUGAUUAAACAAUUAAUUUUAUGGAUUCAAAUGUAACGUGAAUGACUAAUGAAAACAUAACUUAGCUUUUAAAAAGAAUUCAAGAUAAAUCUUUUUUAAAUAUCGAGACAAUGACAGAUUGAAUCAAUCCCGGUCCCCCAAUAACCCGGAUCAUGAACUCUAUUUGAUUUAAUAACAUUUUUUCUAAACUCUUUUUAAUUAUAUAAUAAAAAUAGAUACUCAUAAAAUUAAACACCAACCCUAAAAUAUAUAUUUAUUUGAAACUAUGAUAAAUCUAUAGAAAAUAAACAAAAAUAAACUUUAUAGUCUAUUUUCUAACCAAUCCAAUAUUAAAGGACGAAAUAAAAAAAAUAAAGGAUAAAAAAAAAAACAUCCAGUCUGUUAGUAAACCUGUCAAACCUGUGAAUCAGGUAACUUGAGCUAGCAUGCCAAACUAGUGAACGGGGUUAUGGACUUCACUGAGAUUAUAAUUUGCUUUUUUUUAAAAAAAUUAUUUUUUAUUUAACUAUACAAUAAUAAAAAUAGACGAUCGCAAAAUCGAACAUUAACUCAAUACUGAGAUAUUUUUUGAGACCGUGAUAACUCUAUAAAAAAAAAUGAAAACCAAUUAUGAAAUUAAAUUUCCAAUUAACCCAAUAUCUAUAGAUGAAAUCGAAAAAAAAAAAAUCUUUCCAAACCCGCAAACAAUGUCAACCAACCAAACAUGUGAACAGAUUUAUGAACUUUAUAAAGUUUAAUAAUAUUUUUUUUGAAAUUAUUUCUUUUAACUAUAUGAGAAAAAAAAUAAUAAAAAAAUCAAGUUCAAUUAAAAAAAAAAAACUUCGCUAAACCCAUAAACCAGUAUAACUUGGGUUAUCCAAGUAAACCCGCAAACUACUUUAACCAUAUAAAAAAACAAAUUAAAAAUAAAUAAAUUACAAGGCUUGGUUUUAAAUUACUUUUAUAUUGAAAGAUAAAAUAGAAAAAAAUCAUUUUGAAAAACAAACAACACAAAAAAAUUUUUAAAAAAAAAAGAAAAAGAAGAAAAAGCAAUACACAGAUUAUUGUAAUCCAUGGGGUAAUAGAUAUGAAUAAACAGUAGUUUCCACUUUAGCUUUCUCUUAAUUAUAGAAAACCAAUAAGCAAAGCGAGAGCAGAGAGAACAUAUAUCAUGAAAUUUUUGCUAUAAAAAUAAUAAUAGCAAAGGCUAAAACGGUAUGCUUAAAAAAAAAGGAAAAAAGAAAAAGUGGACGAUGGACGACGUGGUUUUGUCCCACAGGUUGAAAAAAGCAGUGUUUUAAAACGCGGACCGGCCCAGCGGGUCGACCGGUGACCCGGCCGACCCGGGCCUGGGACCGGUCCGGGUGGAGGCUAAAACCCGCUUGGGAAUUGGCCCGGGGAAACCCUGUCGACCCGCCGGGUCGACCCGGGAACCGGUCCACCCGGUCAAACCCGGGUGAGACCCGAUCACUUUUUUCCCUGCCGCUGCCUCUUCUCUUCCUUCGACCUCCGCGUCCCGGCCUAUUGCACCUGCUGCCUAAGGAGAAAAACCCGAGUUGGAGGAGUUCCAUUGAAAUUCACACUCUUCACCUUCUUCUCACUAGCAUUCACUAUAACCCCAGCUCUCCUAUCAGUCUUCUUCGCCAUCAAUGGCGUCAUCAUCGCCAUCUCCUGUUUCCCUUGCUCCUGUUUAGUAUAAUCCUUUGCUCCUGUUUCCCCAAUCCUUGCCCUUCCUUCCACCCCAUCCUCGCCAUCAUCCUCUGCGCCGCAGUCAUUUGUCCACCAGCACCAACUCCCAACCCUAUCGUCCCUGACAUCCCAAUACUAAACCCAUCCCCAUUCCUGGGUGGCGAAGAACUCCUCGGAACACCUCCACUCAUGGCAGCACGCCUUCUCCACGCUUCCUCCCCAGAAAUAUUCACAUCCCUGUCCCUAUCCUUCUCCCUUUCCCUUUCCCUCUCCCUCUCCUCCUCCUCCUCUUGCCUCCUCCUCUCAAUCUCCCUCAACCUCUCCGCUUCCAUCGCCUUCCUUUUUUUCUCCCUCCUAUAAUCUUCAUAAUCAUUCAGCCUGGCCGGAUCAUACUCCUCAACAACCACCGAAUUCACCCCUACCAGUUCUGGUUGCGGAGCAACCUCAUCGGGUAGCACAGUCGCCGCCGCCACGAACGAAGAAACUAAAGAUUUGGAAGCAGAGAUUUGGGGUUUAGGUUUGUUAGGGUUUUUUAAAAGUGAUGUGAGCAGAAGAAAUUAAUAAAAGUGAAUGUGGACUUGUGGUGUUAAUUUAGAAUUUAGGUUUUUUUUUUUGGGUUGACCCGGGUUAACCCGGGUCAACCCAUCUGACCCGUGACCCGAUCACUUGACCGGGUCGGGUUUCAAAACUAUAGAAAAAAGGCUUGUGCUUCUCGUGCAUCUUUUAUUCCCCUCCCCUGUCCCUUUCACUCAAAGGGUUAGUUCGAGUUUCUUCGCAUAUUGUUGAAAAUAUGAAGGAUAAUUGUUUUGCGACGACUGAUUGUGUCAUCAUCAAAAUAGGUAGGAUUAAAUUGUGGUAAUGAUUUUUUAAAAAAUAUUUUUUAUUUGAAAAUAUAUUAAUAUAAUAUUUUUUAAAUUUUAUUUUUAAUAUCAAUAUAUCAAAAUCAUUUAAAAAUAUCAAAAACUUUAAUUUAAAAUAAAAAUUUUAUUUUUUUAAAAAAAGCACGGCAUCACUACAAUAGUUAACACUCACAAAAUCUCGUGGAAGUGUUGAGUGCUUUUUUUUUGGGUUAUUAACUUGGUUCAUGAGUUUGAACCGGAUCACCUAAAUUAUUAAAUAGUUAAAUGAGUUUUAUCUGUCAAAAUCUUGGUUAAUUCAACUAAUAACCUGAACCGAUUUUAAAUUUUGAAUUUCCUACAUUAAUCUAUCCGGUUGGCAAAUAUUAUAAAUAUGGUAAAAAAAUAAAAAAAAAAAUACAGUACAGGCACACCACUCGUAUAUAAAAGACACCGAAGGUUUGAACUUUGAUCACUGAAUUGAGGUGUUGCCAAUUGAACUUCAUUGGUACUGGUAGAAUAUGGCAGAUGAGAAGAAACAAAACCUGGAAAACAAACCUGUGUUGUCUCCACCUCUACCCGAGAGGAAGAAAAACACCUCACCAAACUUCCUUUUAUCUGUUGAGCUCAAAUAUGUGAAACUUGGUUACCACUACUUGGUUUACAAUGCCAUGUACCUCAUGCUCAUGCCAGUACUUUGCGUGAUUUUUGCUCAUCUUUCAACAUUCACAGUUGAUGAGCUUUGGAAUCAACUCAAAUUCAAUUUUGUGACAGUAGUUCUUUCCUCAACCUCAAUUGUUUUUACUGCUACACUCUACUUCAUGAGCCGUCCAAGAAAAGUUUACUUGGUGGAUUUUUCAUGUUACAAGCCCGGACCAGCUCAUAAAGUAUCUAGAGAACUCUUCAUGCAGUUAUCUGCAGCGUCCGAGGUUUUCACAGAGCAAAGCUUAGCUUUUCAAAAGAAAAUCCUAGAGAAAUCAGGCUAUGGUGAAAUGACCUACGCUCCAAAAGGCUUGAUGCGUGUCCCGCCAGACCAGUCCAUGGCUGAAUCCUGGAGGGAAUCAGAGAUGGUGAUGUUCGGAGCAAUUGAUGAUCUCUUGGCCAAAACAAUGGUGAAGCCUAGAGACAUAGGAAUACUGGUGGUGAAUAGCAGUUUGUUCAAUCCCACGCCGUCUCUCUCAGCUAGAGUUGUGAAUCACUACAAGCUUAGAGGGAACAUUUUGAGCUAUAAUCUUGGUGGUAUGGGCUGCAGUGCAGGACUUAUUUCUAUUGAUCUUGCCAAAGACCUUUUACAGGUUUGUUACUUCAAAUUAAUGGCAAACUUUUACGGUUUUUAAGGUGCCGCCUUCGGAUUUAGCAAUUUAAUUUGAAUGAUUUGACGACGGUACGGUUGAUAUAUAGCAUGAUUUGCACAUAUGUAUGAUAUUCUUAAAAUUAAGCAUGAGUUUGUACAUAUUUCAAAUCUACUUGUCAGAAGGUCUCGGGUUUAAAUAUUUCCUUUAUAUAAUAAAAGUAAUAAUACUUACAAGGAUUGACACUUCAUUGUACCAGGUGCAUCCCAACUCCUAUGCCCUAGUGGUGAGCACCGAGAACAUUACUCGCAACUGGUAUUUUGGCAAUGACCGAUCGAUGCUUGUCACCAACUGCCUCUUCCGUAUGGGAGCAGCCGCAGUCCUCCUAUCCAACCGGACAUUUGAUCGCCGUCGCUCAAAGUAUCAACUUAUCCGUACUGUACGUACACAUAAGGGUGCAGAUGAUAAGUCCUUCAACUGUGUCUUGCAACGAGAGGAUCUUGACACCCAAAGAGUUGGCGUCUCUCUCUCAAAAGACCUAAUGGCAAUAGCUGGAGAAGCCCUUGAAACGAAUAUAACCACUCUGGGCCCAUUAGUUCUUCCAGUCUCCGAGCAACUUCUAUUCUUUGUAACCUUAGUUGCCAAAAAAAUCUUCAAGAUGAAGAUAAAACCAUAUAUUCCUGAUUUCAAGUUGGCAUUUGAGCACUUCUGCAUCCACGCUGGAGGAAGAGGUGUGUUGGAUGAGCUUGAGAAAAAUCUUGAGCUCACUGAAUGGCAUAUGGAGCCAUCAAGAAUGACUCUUUAUAGGUUUGGAAAUACGUCUAGCAGUUCUUUGUGGUAUGAAUUGGCGUACUCCGAGGCCAAGGGAAGGAUCAAGAAGGGGGACAGAAUUUGGCAAAUAGGUUUUGGUUCAGGAUUUAAGUGCAACAGUGCCGUGUGGCGUGCUAUAAGAGCUAUCGACCCGGCCAAAGAGAAGAAUCCUUGGAUGGAUGAGAUUGAUGACUUUCCAGUUCGUGUGCCUAGAGUGGCACCUCUUGUUUAUUAAAAACGUCAUCUCGGAAAAAAGGUCAUCGUCCAUCGUUAUUAUUAUUUCAAUCGGCAAUAUGUUAUUAUCCGAAUGCAGGAGUAAUUAUUAACAUGAAAUAAAAAUGUUAUUUUCACAUCUCUUUUGGUGUCGAAAUAUAACAUUAUUGAAAUUGGUGUUAUAAUGUAGUGGUUCUAGCUAUCUGUUUUCACGUUUCUUUGUGCAAUCCUGUUGUAGCACUGAUCGGGUCCGAUGUUUAAUGUAAUGGCUAUAUCUCUAAUGUCAGGUUCAAUUGAGGUAUUGGCUUAGAAAAUAAUUUGGAUUAUAUUGAAUCAACUUGUGCAAUAUCAAGUCAAUUCAGACUAAUCAAUUUAGUUAAAAUGAUAAUUUUUAUAAAACUAGAAAAAAAAAUUAAUUUAAAAAGAAAUAAAAAGAACUCCAAAUCAACCUAGUAUAAUCUGUCAAACCUUUCACCCAAGUAAUGAAAAUGAGAUAACUUCAUAAAAAAUAAAUUAAAACAAAUUAUAAAACUUAUUUUUUAGUCAACCAAAAUAAUAAAAGAUAAAAUUAUAAAACAAUUAUAAAAAUAUCCAAAAAAACCUAAGUAAAGUGGAUUAACUUGUAAAACUCAUGAAUCAUGUCAUGAAACUAGGAUAAUAUCAUAGAAAAUAAAUCAAAAUAAAUUACAAAACUCAAUUUAAAUUUAUGAAAUCGUUGUUUGGACUAGAUGGCAGACCAUGAGCGGAAUAUGUAGGGCUUUUGAAGAAGAAAUUAUUGUUUCAAUUAUGAGAAAAAUUGUAAAGGGGGGGGGGGAAUUAAUUACAUGAUCGAAUAUAAUAGCACUAACGUAGGCAGUUAGUAGCAAGAAAAGAGGAAGAGUAUUAAAAAUACGAUAUAUUAAAGCGCGUGUAUACAUGCACAUGCUACCUGGAGAGUGAAUUCAAAUUUGAAAGUAUUUAGCAUAUCAUUUAUAAGCCUACAUUUAACCUAAUCAUUAUGGGCCGUAGACAACAUGAGCCCAUUAUAAAAGAUUCAAUUAGUAUUAUCUAAACCUAAUUAUUAUAGGCCUUAGACAGCAUGAGCCCAUCUUAAAAGAUUCAAGUACUAUCUAAAUCUAAUGAUUAUGGGUCUUAGAUCGCAUGAGCCCAUCUUAAACUAUAAAGAGGGCAUUUGGGGAAGGAAAGCAACAAGCCUUGUAAAACAAAAUAGAGGUGAGGUACAAGAAAAUAGAUUUUUCAAUAUUAGAGCUCAAAGGGAUCGUUCAACCACAUAGGCAUUUGUAAAUUAAAUUAAUGUCGAUAGUCUAUGGAUACAAAUGCACAACAUCAAGAUUACCUAAGUGUUAUAAAACAUUAAUUUAUAAAUCAUUAGCAACCGCCCAUUAAGCUAGUGAAAUGAAAUUUAAAUCAUUAAUUUAAAAAAAAUAAUGAUUUUAGAUUUUCUAAUAUGAUUGUGUUACUCUUAAAUAUAAGGAGAGCCCGAUCCUGGACAAACAAUGAUAUAUUCACUCAUGGACAUUUGAAAAAAUAAACAAAAAAGCUAUCUUUCACGUAUUGGUUUAGGUGGUAAACCAGUUUAUUUUUUACCUCAUAUUUUUAGGUUUGAAUUCAAGAAAAAAUUACAAUAUUUUUAUAACAUGAUUUUAUAUAUCUUUUGUGAAUAUUAUAAAGUAAUUUAGUUUAAAUAAUUAUAAUAUUUUCAUUCAAACCUAGCUUUUGGUCCAUAAUAUAUCAUUGAAACUUCAAAUAUCUAGCUUCGAACCAAUUGAUAAAACAGCAAAAUACCACUUAAAAUUAAAUAUAUUAUAUAGAAUGCUUUUGGGAUUAAUUUACUUGUAACCGAACUCCAAAACUCAAAUUUUUAUUUUGUACGAUUGUCUUCAUGUAUAAGAAAAUUGAGUCAUUUUAACAGUAAAAACCUUUAAGUACCCAACCACACUAGUACAAAUGAAUUUUUGGUGCCCACGCACAAUAUUUCUUAAAAAUGAUUUCUGAUGGGGUUCAAAUAUUUCAUCAUGAGAAUGUGGGUCAAGGCUUAUAUAUUUGAUAAUUGAUUAAUUUUUUAUUUUUGGUUAUCUGAUUAAUUUUUUCUAAUCAAAACGGCUUGUGGCUAAUAUUUAAUUCCUAUAAAAGAUCUCUUUUGAUGGAUUUGGAGACUUCUAAAACUUAAGUAAGUAUCGUUGGAGGAUAUAAAGUAAAAUUAUAUUUUAGAAAAGAAUUCCAAUUAUAAAUAUGUAAUAGGGAGUCCAAAAAAAAUUGAAACUUCUUUGGAAGGAUUUUCACGGUCCUUUUUAUAGCACAUAUGACUUGUCUCUUUUUGAAUGGAAGAUGUGAAAGUAUAAGUAAAAUAUUUAUGACUUGUUAAAUUAAAAUAUUUUUCACUUAUUAAGGAGUAACAUAUCUUUGACUGAUGGUCUAAUCAUAGAAUCUAAGAUUCUAGGAGUAAAAAAAGAGCAUGGGCACAACGCUUGGUUGAGUCUAAAAAUGAUAAAUCUGGUAGCUUGCUGGACCUAUAUAUAUAUAUCUGAGCUCAACACUUAACUGAGUUAAAAAUAUUGAUUUAUCACCUUAUCUUUAGUCAUUUUUUAGAAAAGACAAUUAAGAUAAAAAUAAAAUAUGCUUGUGAAAAAUAAAACUUCUUGAAAAAAAAAAUCCAAUUAACUCUUCUAGAGAAGAAAUUACAUGCAUUAAUAUAUAAUAGAUAUUUGGCCCGCAUUUACAGUAGUUUAGAUUUUUUUUUCUCAAUAAAAACAUUUAUAGACUUUUUCAACAUGUUUUUUUAUUUUAAAAAAAUUCUAAGUGAAAAUCAAAAUAUUUAUACAUAUAUGCAAUCAAAUAAAUUGAGAACUGUGUAUAUUAAUAAGUGAAAAAAAAAACAUAAACGAUGACUAAAUAUAAAAACUGGAAAAAUCGAAAGACAUGUAUAGAUCAAAAUAUUUAAUUUUGCAAGAUGUGACAUUUAGGCGGUUGUGUUUGCUAAAUUUGUUAAUUAAAAUAAUUUUUUUAUCCAAUCAAACGAUAAUAAAAAUAAACACACAUAUUAAAUUGAUUGAAUAAAAUAAAAGAAAAAAAACAAGUAAAGUUGUACAUAUUAUAAAUAUUAUUUGAAAAUAAAUUUCUUUUUAUUUUCAGAAAUAAAGUUCAUCUAUACAAAAGAUUAAAAAAAUAUAGAUUAAUCAUAAAAAUCUCAUCAAAAAUUAAAUGUAUAAUUAAAAAAUAAUUAUCAUUUCAAAUAGGCUUUCUAAAUAACAUAAAAGAGAGAAGAGAUAUUAAUCUAAAUAUAAAUAUAAAUAUAAAUAAAAUUAAUAUUAAUAUUAAUAUUAAUUUUAAAAAAUAAAAAUAAAAAAAUAAAAUAGUUUUUCUUCAACAAAAAAAGAGAGUAAAUAGUGUCGUCCACAGUAAAACUUGUAGGGUGAACCCAGACCAUGAACUCAACCGGUUUUUUCCCCUUAAAUUUAUGGCAAACCUAAAAAAAAGUGAACAAUGUUGUCCAUGGUAAAACAUAAGGGGAUGAACAUUGCGGUUGCACAGUAUUUACCUCACACAUUUUUCCCUUAAAUUUAUAGAAAAACCUUAAAAAAAAUAAUGACUAGUGUCGUCCACAGUAAAACGCGAGGGGGUGAACAGUGUGUCUGUAUAGUGUUCACAACACACGCUUUAGUUUAUUUAGGGUGAACCCGGAUCAUGAACUUAAUCGGGUUUAAUAUUUUUCCCCCUCAAAUUUAUACCAAACCUAAAAAAAGUGAACAAUGUCGUCUAUGGAUGAGGGGGCGAACAAUGCGGCUGUAUAAUGUUCACCCCGUAUGCUUUAUAUAUAUAUGAAAAAUGGGAAAAACACUGUGGACUUGCAUAUUAUUUUUCCCACGCAGUUUAGAUUAUACUAAAUAGAUUGCCUGCGCGUUGCUGCGGGUUACUUUUAGAAACAUGUGCUGCUUUUAAUUAUGAGACAAUUGAAAAAAAAAAGUGUUUUCUAAGCAUGCAAUCAAGAGCUGAUAGCAUUAAAAAGGUAUAUGAUUUGCUUUCAAGCAAUGAAUAAGUAACAUGCAAAAAACUUGCAUAAACUGUCUCGAAUUUCGUAUAAGAAUCAAAUUGUAAAAUAUAAAGAGAGAUCAAUCUAACAUAGGCAUUGUUUGAACAACUCAAAAUAAAAGGUGGCAUGAUAUAUAUAUAUCGAAAAACUUAUGCACGACUUUAAUUAAACAACCUAAUAAACAUUGUGUAAAUUAAUGACAAAAAAAAUCAUCAACAAUAAAAAAAAAGAUGAAUUGAGAAAACCAAGCGAAAAAUAAAGAUCAAAAUAUCUCACAUCACAACACGGGUAAUUUACUUGGUCAUGUUUAAUAAAUUCCUCUAUCAAAAUAAGUUUGUAAUAGAAAAACAAAUAAAAUUUGUAAUAGAAACCGACACACAUAAAAUUUAUUGAACAAUAUAUAUAAAAAAAAUACUGCAAAGCUGCAUAUAUGAAAAAUCUUAUAAAAAAUCAAUAUUAAAAACAAUCUAUAUAAAAUUAAGAAAAAACCAAAGAUGAAUCAUACUCACCUCUCUAAAAACUAAAUACACCCAAUAUCAUUUAAAAAUAUCACAAUCUAAUUAAAAUAUAAAUAAAAAAUUUAUUUGGAAAAGUAUACACAAAUGAUGCAUUAUUUAAAAAAAAAGUAUACAUAUAAAAAAGAACUAGGUCAGAAGCUUGUAGGUCUGGUAAGCUAGGCCCGACGCCUGGCCUAAUGAACCAACGGCCUGCACUUGGGCCUGCAAUGCCAGGCCUAAGCGCAUGCCCUUUUUUAAAGUUUAAUGGGGUGGACAAUGCGUCGUCCGCCCCAAAUAUUUCAAAAAAAAAUGAUGCGUCGCUUACUCCAUCCUAGAAUACGGCCAUUGUGGUGGCUGAAAAAACAAGGUCCGUCGUUUUUUCACCUAAAAAUCUCAUUUUAAACCCAUUUUUUUUUUUACCCAAAACACCUACAAAUAGGGGUGAUUAUUUUCAGUUCGGUUCGAUUUUUAUCAAAAAAAGUAACCAAACUGGUUUUUUUAAAAUACCGAAAUCAGUUCAAACCGAUCGAUUUCAGUUCGGUUUGGUUAUUUUAGAACAAAAACUGGUUCAAACCGAUCGGGUUCAGUUUGGUUUGGCUCUGUUUUUUCGAUUUGACUCAGUUUUUUCCGAUUUGGCUUGGUUUUUGGUUUGGGUUUGGCUCGGUUUUUUUGGUUUCAGGCUUAUAAAACCAAACCGAACCAUUUGGUUUUUUUAAAAAUUCUAAUCAUAUUUUUUUCACGGUUCGGUUUUUUCAGUUAUUGUUUUCUAGUUUUCUUAGUUUAAUCGGUUUCUUGGUAUUUUUGCUCAUUCCUACCUAGAAAACACCAUAGAGACCUUUUUAAACCAAUCCAUUGCAACAAAAAAGCCAAAAAACCAUCACAAAAUCCACUCGAAACAAAAAUUCUUCAGGAGCUUAGAUUUGUUGUUUUAGGUGUUUUGAAGGUAAAAACAAAUACCUAAACAUAACCCCCUCAUCAUAUGAAACCUUCUAACACAAAAAUCAACCAUUUUAGUGAUCAGAAUCUUCCCCAAUAGCUACUUUCUCUCUCUAGACCGGAAUCUGAGGACUCCCUCUCUCUCCUCUCAACAAAAAAAGACUGAAAAAAAAGGAAAAUAAAGUUAGGUAUCAAAAUGUAUUAUUUUGAAAUAUAAGGCACCAAUCACUUUAUACCAAAAAAAUAUUGCGGAUUAAAAUGAAUGUUUCAAUGAAACUUUCAACCCUCUCCUAAUGCUACCCGAGAUUUUCACUUCAGUCCCUUAACUUUCAAUUCAAUCCUCCUUUUAAUAAAAAUACAAUCGAAGGCUAAUUUAGGCUCCAAAAAUCCAAAUCAUGCAAAAUAAAAGUUCAGAGAUUAAAGUGAAAAUUUUCAAAAAUUACAGUGUUCAAAUCCACAGUAGAUUAUGAAAUAGUGCACAGUGUUUUAGCUAAUGUAAAAAGCUGAUGCCUUUUAGCUUUGUACUAGUUAGGUGGCCCGCGCUACGUUGCGAGCCAAUAUUUUUUUAGCAUAAAAAUAUAUAUAAAAAAACUAAGACCCAAGAGCCUUGGGUCUCACUGCAGCGUCAGACCCAAGAGAAUUGGAUUUGGGUUUGGCUACACCGUCAGACCCAAGAGCUUUGGGUGCGGGACUGGCAAGAGCAUUGGGUCUGGCUACAACCCCGGACCCAUGAGUAAUUUUUGUAAUAUUAAUUAUAAUACCAAUAGUAAUAUUUAUAAUACAAAUAAUAAUAUUUUUAAUAUUAAUAAUAAUAUUAAACUUGCUUGGCCCAAGUUCUUAUAGUUUUUAAUCCCUUUAAAUCAAAUAUAUGAUUUUUCUUUAAUAUUAAUAAUAUUUUAUUUCAAAUUUAAUAAUAAUAAUAAUAAUAAUAAUUUUUAAUUUUACACUUCAAAUCAAAUCUAUGGUUGUUUUUCAAUAUUAAUAAUAUUUUUUUUCAAAUUUAUUAGUUAUCAUAUUAAUAACAUUAAUUAUAAUAAAAAUAAUUAUUAUUAUAAUACAAAUAAUAAUAUUAAUAAUAAUAUUAAACUUGUCUGACCCAAGUUUAAGUGGGUCUGACUGCAACGCUAGACCCAAGAGCUUUGGGCCCCUUGUAAACGUCUGACUCAAAAGCUUUGGAUCCCUCUUAAACGCCAUACCCAAGAACCUUGAAUCCGGAUGCUAGACCCAAAAGCUGCGGGCCUGAACACCGGAUCCAAGAACCCUGUGUAAACCCUCGGUUAUAAUUUUUCUGGGUAUUUAAAAGAUGAGAAAUUUAACCAAUAGUAAAAUGGGUUAAAUUAAAUUAAAGAAACCUAAACAAGAUAUAAAUAGUGAAAUUAAUGAAAUGAAAAGUGAAUAUAGUACUAAAUCAUUGAAAAGAAAAACAUUUGUGAGGACAAAAUGAAUACGUAAGAUCAAGAGAGGUCAAUAUGCAAAUAACAGAAGGUUGGGAGUUUAUAUAUAAAUGAUAAAAAAGGGUGGGGAUAAAUGUGCAAUUAACAAGAUGUUAGAACUAUAAAUAUCAUUCUAUUUUCUCUCUUGGAGUGACUGGCAAGAGUAAGAGAGAGUUUAGAGAGAGGCUGGAGAGAAGAUAUAUUGAUGGUAAAUCAACUGACAGCUAUAACUCCACCUUCCACCGUUGGAUCAGCACGAUAUUCGGGUAUGUUUUUCUCAUCCAUGUUGUAUACAUUGUCACCGUAGGGAUUUCCUAUAUCAGUCCCCUUUUGAGAGAUAUCGAGGGAGGAAAAUAUUUGGGAAAAUACACUUCUGGAUAAUCUUCGUUGCUGUCUGUUUUCUCCUUCGACCACCGUUGGAUUAAGCUAUAACUUGGAUAUGUUGUUCUUCCUGAUUUUGUCUAGAUUCUGAACGGUGGAGAUCUGAAACAAACAUUUGGUAUAGAAGUUGUAUAUCUCGCACAGUAGGUCUGCAAGUUUGAGGUCAGUUCGGUUAAACCCAUAUUUCAGGAAAUUUCACCAUUUGAUGAAGUUAAUAUUUGGAUAUGUUAUACUCAUAAUAAUGCAUUAUAACUUGACAGUAUAGAUUGUUUGGAAUAUUAUUCGUUUGUUAUUUAUGGUUUAUAAGAACUGUGUCAAGGAUUGUGUUUAGAAGAAUAUUGUUCGGAAAGUUUGUAAAAUCGACAAGAAUGUUUUAUUUUGACGUAAAGAGGGAAGAUUGAAAUAAAUAAGAUAAAUUGGCUCUUAUAAAGAUAUUCUUUUUUUUUUACAGUCUUAAACGAUAUGUGAUAUGACCAGGGGUUGAGAUGAUAGAGAAAGAGUUAAAUUGUGGAUGUUGUGUGUAAAUGGAAAGGUUGAUGAAUCUGGACAGAUUCGUCUCCUAACAUUUGGAGAGAAUUCGAGUAGAAGAAUGAGAGAAUUAAGAUCAAGUUUCUCAUAGUAAUUGUAGUUUUGGAUGUUAGCUAACUAAGAAAUUGGUCUUGCUCAAUCUGGAGCUGUAGAACCCCAGUUAUGGGUCAUCAACCGAGAUUGGGUCUUGCCAGACCCUGUAGGGUAGUGUUUGUUGAUGAGCAAUUUUGACUAUCUCAAAGGCAGAACUGGGUUCUCCUUCCUUCAAAGAACUUGUAGCCUUGUGUAUUAGCUUUCCAACGAGACUAAUCUCGCUUGAAACAGAGUUCUAUAAGUGUAGAUAUAGUUAAAAAUCUAAUGAGUGUUCAGACAGUAACAGUUCAAAUGUCUAGACAGUAACAGUUCAAAGUGUAGACAGUAACAGUUCAAAUGUCUAGACAGUAACAGUUCAAAGUCAGACAGUAACGGUUGGAAAAGUCAAACAGUAACAGUUGGAAAAGUCAGACAGUAACGGUUGGAAAAGUCAAACAGUAACGGUUGGAAAAGUCAAACAGUAACGGUUCAAAGUCAAACAGUAACGGUUGGAAAAGUCAAACAGUAACGGUUCAAAGUCAGACAGUAACAGUUGGAAAGUGGACAGUAACAGUUCAAAGUUAGACAGUAACAGUAGACUUUCACGUGAAUACUAAAUAAAGGAAUUGAGUCAUACGAACACUUGCACAUUGAGAUACUAACUCUGAAAAUAUACAUGAUAUAUGUAUGUAUGUUAUUAUGAGGAAAUGAACAUGCAUAAGAAAGUAACAUAUGAGUAAUGGAUGAAUAUGGAUUCUCUAUAAUAUCGGCCUGAAGGAAUGAUAACUAUGGUUGGAUAAAGGAUGACAACAUUAAUGGGUGUAAUGAGAAAAACAUAAGAUAUAAAGAAAGGAAUGAUUGAAAGGAAGAUUUAUUAGCUAUUGAUAUGAUUAUUAUAAAACAUAUCCUUGAAUGAGGAAAAUUUAUGAGAUGAGUCUGUGACUGCAGGAGGGACCACCGGUGUGGUGCAACAACAGCAACAGGGGAGCACAAUUAGAGCUUCUACUGCAUGUAGGUGACUUUCACCUUCCUUUUAAAUAAUGUUGAAUAAUGAAAAUACUUUAUCAUGAAUAUUACUGUAUUGUGUUAAUUCAGAUACCAGACUGUCAAAUGCUUAAAUGUUAAUAAAUGAACGAUUAGCUUCAGCUAAAGGCAUCUGAAGAGAUGACCUUGAACAUUGAAAUACCUUAUCAUGAAUGUUGUCGUAUUGUGUUAAGUCAGAUAUCGGAUUGCCAAAUGCUUAAAUGAUUGAUUAGCUUCGGCUAAUGGCAUCCGAAUGGAUGACCGGGACAAAUGAAUGAUUAGCUUCGGCUAAUGGCAUCCGAAGGGAUGACCGGGACAAACGAUUGAUUAGCUUCGGCUAAUGGCAUCCAAAUGGAUGACCGGGACAAACGAUUGAUUAGCUUCGACUAAUAUCAUCCGAAUGGAUGACCGGAAUAAAUGAAUGAUUAGCUUCGGCUAAUGGUAUCCGAAGGGAUGACCGGGACAAACGAACGAUUGAUUAGCUUCGGCUAAUGGCAUCCGAAUGGAUGACCGGGACAAAUGAAUGAUUAGCUUCGGCUAAUGGCAUCCGAAGGGAUGACUGGGACAAACGAUUGAUUAGCUUCGGCUAAUGGCAUCCGAAGGGAUGACCGGGACAAACGAUUGAUUAGCUUCGGUUAAUAUCAUCCGAAUGGAUGACCGGAAUAAAUGAACGAUUAGCUUCGGCUAAUGGCAUCCAAAGGGAUGACCAGGACAAACGGUUGAUUAGUUUUGGCUGAUGGAAUUCGAAGAGGAUGACCGGGACAAACGAUUGAUUAGCUUCGGCUAAUAGCAUCCGAAUGGAUGAUCGGAAUAAAUGAACGAUUAGCUUCGGCAUCCAAAGGGAUGACCAGGACAAACGGUUGAUUAGUUUUGGCUGAUGGAAUUCGAAGAGGAUGACCGGGACAAACGAUUGAUUAGUUUCGGCUAAUAGCAUCCGAAUGGAUGACCGGAAUAAAUGAACGAUUAGCUUCGGCUAAUGGCAUCCAAAGGGAUGACCAGGACAAACGGUUGAUUAGUUUUGGCUGAUGGAAUUCGAAGGGGAUGGCCGGGGUGAGUGAAUAGUUAACCUCGACAAAUGAUGUCUUAAAAGAAUGGCCGGAUUUAAAAUUAUAGUUGAUUGCAAGAAUUGGUGUAUAUAUAUAUACUGCAAGUUAUGUAUACCAAGAACAUGAAGGAACUACAAAUGUCACGCUUCAAACAUGAGAUAAUGUUAAUGCUUCGUUAAACUGUCAGACCAUUUUCUUAUUGUUGUUGUUGUUAUUAUUAUUAUUAAGUAAUUGCAUUCUUGUAAAUGUUUUGUACUGCAGUAGGGACGUCAUACCAACAAGGUGCCUAGGAAACCCGAUACAUGGGAACCUACUUUUGCAAGGAAUCAUGUAGUUGCAUUCUAAAUCAUGAUGUAUUUUAUAUGAAUCAAUGUACUGAAUGUAUAACUAUUAUUAGAUCCUUUUAGAUUAAAUUCAUGAUGACUAUUUGUAGGAUAGAAUACAAACUCAUGACUGUGCAUGUAUAUUUUAAAUGCGAACUUCUAAUCAUGCAAACAUAAUAUUAUAAGUUAAAAAAAAAAAUUACUGUUGUUUUGGGCUUGUAAAAGCCGUGCUGUUACACCUGGGUCGGUCUGUAAGGCUAGACCCAAGAACCUCGGGCAGGUUGCAACGCCGAACCCAAGAGCCCGAACAACUUGGGCUUGACGCGCCUUUUCAGCCCCAAGUUACUUAGGUCUAGAAGGGGAUGUCAAACCCAAGUUAAUAAUAAUAAUAAUAAUAAUAAUAAUAAUAAUAAUAAUAAUAAUAAUAAUAAUAAUAAUUGAUUUUACUCUUCAAAUUAAAUUUAUGUUUUUUUAUAAUAAUAAUAUAUUUUUUAAAAUUUAAUAAUAUUAAUGAAUAUAAUAAUAUUUGUAAUAUUAAUAAUAAUAUUAAACUUGUUUGACCCAAGUUUUUAUAGUUUUUAAUUUCUUCAAAUAAAAUUUAUGGUUUUUCUUUGAUAGUAAUAAUAUUUUCUUUCAAAUUUAUUAAUGAUAAUAAUAGUUAUAUUAAACUCGUCUGACCCAAGUUCUUAUAGUUUUUAAUCCCUUCAAAUCCAAUUUAUGUUUUUUCUUUAAUAGUAAUAAGAUUUUUUUUUUCAAAUUUAUUAAUGAUAAUAAUAAUAAUUUUUAAUUUUACUCAUCAAAUGAAAUCUACGGUUGUUUUUCAAUAUUUAUAAUAUUUUUUCAAAUUUAUUAAUUAUUAUAUUAAUAAUAUUAAUAAUAAUAAUAAUAAUAAUAUUUUUAAUAAUAAUAAUAUUAAUAUUAAAUUUGUUUAACCCAAGUUUAAGUGGGUUCAGCUGCAAUGUCAGGCCCAAUAGUAUGACAGUCAUGCCUAAUCCCAGCGCCAGGUAUCUGAUAGCCAUACCAUACCCCUCCCCUGUCCCUAUCACUCGAAGGGUUAGUUCGAGUUUCUUCCUAGAUUGUUGAAAAUAUGAAGGAUAAUUGUUUUGUGACGACUGAUUGCGUCAUCAUUAAAAUAGGUAGUUUUAAAUUGUGUUAAUGGUUUUUUUAAAGUAUUUUUUAUUUGAAAACAUAUUAAAAUUAUAUAUAUUUUUAAAUUUAUUUUUAAUAUCAAUAUAUUAAAACCCUUUAAAAACAUAAAAUAAAUUUAAUUUAAAAUAAAAAAAUUAAUUUUUUAAAAAAGCACGGCAACCUGCAAUAGUUAACACUCCUAUAAUCUCGUGGACAUGUUGAGAGCUUUUUUUUUGGGCUAUUAACUCGGUCGAGUUUGUACCGGAUAACCUGAAUUAUUAAAAACCUAUCAUAGCUAAAUGAGUUUUAGCUGGUAAAAAUUGGUAAAUUCAACUAGUAACCUGAACCGAUUCAAGCUUUGAAUUUUGAAUUUUGAAUUUCCUACAUUAAUCUAUCCGGUUGGCAAAGUUUUAUAACUAUGGUAAAAAAUAAAUAAAUAAUGCAGUAAAAGGUACUCCACUCGUAUAUAAAAGACACCGAAGGUUUGGACUUUGAUCACUGAAUUGAGGUGUUGCCAAUUGAACUUCAUUGGUACUGGUAGAAUAUGGCAGAUGAGAAGAAACAAAACCUGGAAAACAAAUCUGUGUUGUCUCAACCUCUACCCGAGAGGAAGAAAAACAACUUACCAAACUUCUUUUUAUCUGUUCAGCUCAAAUAUGUGAAACUUGGUUACCACUACUUGGUUUCCAAUGCCACGUACCUCAUGCUCUUGCCAGUACUUUGCGUGAUUUUUGCUCAUCUUUCAACAUUCACGGUUGACGAGCUUUGGAAUCAACUCAAAUUCAAUUUAGUGACAGUAGUUCUUUCACUACUAAAAAAAAAAAAGGUAUUAGCAUCUGAAUUUAGCAACGGAUAAUUCCGUUGCUAAAUUCAGUAACGGAUUUGCAACGAAUUAUACAUAUAUUAUUUUUUUAAUAUCAGCAACGGACUUUAGCAACGGAUAAUCCGUUGCAAAAUUUACGUUGAAUUUAGCAACGGAUUUUCCGUUGCUAAUUAAAAAAAUAAUUAUUUAAAUUUUAAUAUAAAACCAAAAUUACGAACACCGUUGAUUACAUUUACAAGGAUUAAAUCUCAACCGUUUAUUUUUCGCUGGCUUUGGUAAAUCUACACUAGUGCUCUCCCCCCACACCGAAAUGCAAACAGAGACAAAAUGAACAAAACCAACAGAUGAAAAUUAAUGAUCUUCCACUCUUCCAGUCUCCUUCGUCCCUAACAACAUCGAUCCAUAACUGUAGAAAAAUCACCCUCUCUUUAUCGAUUUGAUUUUCCUUUAUCCCAAACAUUUCAUCUUCUUCGCAUCUUCAGCAUCCCUAAUUUCUUUUCUUCAUCUUCUUCUCCUUCAUCUGAACAAAAUCGAACCAAACCCAUCAUUAUCACCAUCGAACAUGCUGAUUUAAGGUAUCUCCUUGUAAACGGGUUGGGUGUUUCACAGUUUUCUUCAAUAGUUCAGGUAAGUAAUUAAGGGUUUUUGUUUUUGUUUGUUGCAAUUUAACUUGCACUAAAAAUUUUUCACCUAACUUUCCCAAUCCAGGUUUCUUUCUGUCCUGUAGAACGAUCUCGGUCACCUGUAACUCAAGAACACAGGUAACUUUUUUUUUUUCAAUACUUUGAAUAAUGGUUUUAGGCUAUUAAUUUGAUAAUAUAGGGGUUUAUGAAAUGUUUUUACCAUGAUCUAUAACCUAAUUAUGCAUGUGUAAUUGAAAAUUUAUCAAAACCCCCAAUUUAAUUUUUAGGGUUACGGUUCAUAAAUUUUUUGAUGUCCCAGCAGUUGAGCUAUAAUCAUUUUUGCUUCCCUUUGGUUUCUUUUUGCCAGUAGAUAGUUGUUUUCCCCCAUGAGAUACCUUCAUAUCAUCGUGUAAGUGGGAUGCAUUUUUCUCUUCAAACUACUGUUUUGUAAGAUCCAAUGUUAUAUCUCCACAUUUUCUCAUCUCCUCAGGCAUAUAAUUGUCUUUAAACAAAGCAAGGCUUUUUGGCUAAAUAACUCCUUCUUUGCCCCACUGAAAUUGGCUCUGAAUAUUAUACCCUGUUGUAACUUGCUACCCUGUUGCUUCAACUUUUUACAUUGUAAUGCUCUACUUCUAUAAUUUUGAAGUGUUACAGCAGCGUAUGGAUGCUGUUAAAAUAUAAAGAGUCUAGCAACUGGUUAACCUGUGAUGCAUUUUGUUCUUCUGUAGCAGUCCAAGUUUUUCUUUUUUUUCUUGCUGUGAUUUGAUUGAGCAUGCUUGCAGAGUUUUAGUGCUGCCUUUUAGUCACAGCCAAUCCAACUUACUAGGAUGUGGUGGUUGCUGAUUCCUGUAGAUAUUAUUUCAAAAUAUGCAAUUAUUAGUUUUAGUUGCAAAACUUAUACGCACUUAUUUUCCUUGACAAAAUUCAAAUUUUACGAUCCUAUUCAUAUUUGUAAUAUCAUAUCAUUUUCUGGAAUAAUCCACCUUUUAUUUUGCUGUGUUAUGCAGGAGGAACCUCAACUAUUUCAAUUUGUUCCAAAUUAAAAGCAGGUACCAUUUGUUUAGACCACAUUGUAUUAACAAAGUUGUAUUUAUUGUGAUAGAUUCAUAAUUCUGUUUAUCUGAUUUAUGCUCUCACAGGUCAAGGCAGCACACCAACUUCUCAAGACUAUUCCACAUAGCUAUGGGAGCAGGAGGGUUGAUGGAGUUCCUGUUUUCAGCAAACAAAAUUCAGAAAUUGCAAUAGCUACCAAAGACGGGAUUAAGUGGUGUGUAUUGAUUCUCUUGUAUCAAAAUUUAAAUAUGCAUAUUUAAAUUUUCAGGGCAUAAGACUGUUUUUUUUCUUUCCUUAUUCAAUUCAGAAAAAAAAAUUGUUAUAAGAAGACAAUUGCCAUGAAAAUAUGAAAACUAAACAGUACUUUAACUUGGAUAUUCUUUCUGUUUUUCAUAGUUUAACUUAGAUUUGUUUCAAAGACUAGCAAUUGAUAAAGCUGGAUGGGUUUAACAUACUGUUUAUGUUUUUUAUUUUUCCAGCAAUAUGAAUGGCUUAUUGGAUCACAAUAUAAAUCAAUAGAGUUGGCUAAGUCUGAUUGGGUUGCAACAAGGAAAUCUCCACCUUGGGCCAUUGAUUAUUGGGGCUUUGGUAAGUCAAUUUUGCUCCAUUUUUUGAUGGUUGCUUAAUUAGAUUAUGCUUAAUUUGUCUGCUGGGCAUGCCUAUUGUAAUCUUUUCAAUUAAUUAGAACUUUGCUUUUCAUUGGGAUAAGAUUAUUCAUAUUUAAAUUUAUUGUCCUUGUAGAUCCUAGUUUUGGAGGUUUAUGUGAACAUGAUGCUGGGAUUAUAUUCAAUUAACUUUUCUGGGCAUAGUACUGUCUUUUUUAUUUCUGCUUUUACAUAUUGCUUCCUGAAGUUCAUGUUUUUAGUAUUUUUCCUCUUAAGAAGAAUAAGAAUAAGCCUCGAUCUUCUUUAUUUAAUUUCAAAACCAUGAAGGCAUUUAGAGGCCCAAAUCCCAUUUUGAUUAUUUGGUUAGACAAUAUAAAUCAAUGACAAGGUAAUUUAGAACUUUGGGUGGGUAGUUCAAAAAAUAAUAAUUAAUGCUUUUUACAAUAAGAUGUGGGGGGAACAUUACAAGAGUAAAAAGAAUGGGGUAAGAGGUGAUAAGGACAUAUUUAAGGGCGAAAUCUUAUGGGGAAACUUUAUUUUUACUAGUGGAGGGUGUGGUGACUGUUUAAGGAUUCCUUAAUUUAUCUGUAAAGUCGUGGUGUUUUGUAGCUUUGAGGUAAAAUUGGAUUUAUAAUUACGGGGAAAGAAAAUAAAAUUAUUGGUUGACAGCAAACUGUUGCGCUGUGAAUGGAUGGUGGAGGAAUGAGGAGAUGUUUUGGACUGUUAUAAUGCUACAUUGAUUUAUUUAUUUAUUCUCCACUGUAAAGAUAUUUAUUUUCAAAUUAAGUUGUAUAUCAACUGGAAAGUAAAUCUCUUAUGUUACACGGGCCUCAUAUGACAUCAUCAUAAAUGAAAGUAUUGCUGUAAAUUAAAGCACAGACAUCAAUUGUUUUUCCUUCCAUUUCAUGUAGUAAUAAAUAAGAAUUGGAUUGAAUAAUUUCAAGAUAAAAGAGACCUAAAGCAACGCUUUUUCCUGAGGUGAAGCAGUUUGCCAAGCAUCUAGGUUACAUAUUAUUCUUGCUUCUGAAAGAAAAAGUAGGAGUUUGAAUGCUUGUGAUGGAAGAAAUAAGACCAAACAAGAUUCUUGAUUUAUUGAUGCACAUGCAACAAUUAAUAGCACCAGUCUCUUUUGCUUUAUUUGUUGAGCCAUCAAAUGACACUAGUUGUGGGUGAUUUUUGUUUUUUCCAAGCUUAUAUUGGAAUUCCCGAAGACUACAGUACUGUGUGGAUGUUAAUGGGAGCACACGUAUAACCAGUUUAACCUAGAAAUAAUAAUAAUAAUAAGAAAAAAAACAAUUCUUGAGUUUUGAGAACCAACAUCUAUGGACAUCAAGCAAUUACCAGUCUGCUUGGUCAUUAAAUUAUAUGCCAUAUUCUAAUUAGUUAGUUAGGUUUUUUUUUUAAAAAAUAAUCAAAUCCCCUCUUAUCAUGUGCUUUAUUUAUAAGAGAUCUCAAGAACUUGAGUACUCCACAUAAAAUCAAAAGGGUAAACUAAAGAAAAAGGAAAAAAAAAAAAAGUUCCCCAUUCAGGAGUUACUAACUAGUGAAGUUUUAUUGCAAGUAAUGAUUUCCCAUUUGAAAAGGAGAUGUCUGCUUUUUUCUCCUGCUAAAUUCCAACAAAUUCCAAUUAGCUAGCACAUAUAUGGAAGACCUUGUCUUCUGGAUCAUUUCAAGCUUUUUACACAAAGCAAGCAUCCGAUCCCUCUGUGCAUUUUAUUUCCCUUCAUGUCUUUCCACCCUCUCAGACGCAUCCUUGGAAUCAAUUUAACUUGGAUUUGUUUUAAAGACUAGCAAUUGUUAGAACUUGAUGGGUGUGACAUACUGUUUAUUUUUUUUAUUUUUCCAGCAAUAUGAAUGGCUUAUUGGAUCACAAUAUAAUCCAAAAGAGUUGGCUAAAUCUGAUUGGGUUGCAAUAAGAAAACCUCCACCUUGUGCCAUUGAUUCUUGGGGCUUAGGUAAGUCUAUUUUGCUCCAUUUUUACAUGGUUGCUUAAUUAUAUCGUGCAUAAUUUUUUUGUUGGGCAUGCCUAUUGUAAUCUUUUCAAGUAGUUGGAACUCUGCCUUUCAUUGGGACAAUAUUGAUAGUUUGUAUAAGAAAACUAAUUGAAUGAUUUUCUUUUAUUAAAUCUGAUAUUGAGUUUAUUUUGGAUGAAAAUUAUGAGACCAAAAUGAAACCUAGAGGUGGCUGAAUAAUAUAUCAAUUAAUUGCAAAUUUAAAUGUUGUGCUAUUUGUGAAGUCUUGAAACAUAUUGUAUUAAGAGAUUGAGAAGACAACAUUUCUCUUACGGUCUGCUCAUGUCAAUUAAUUAACAAUAAUAUUAUGCUCCAUACGUAUUAAGAGAAGAAAAAAGACAACAAAUCUACUAGUACAUGAAAUUAACUAAUUUGGAUUGUGCUUAAAGAAUUUAUAAAACAAAUGUAUUUAUAUUUUCAUCCACCAGUAUUAUAAUUAUUAUCUAAUUAUUAUUUCACUACGACAUAAAAGAUAGAUACAAUGUAUAUGAUAAGAGACAAAGAUACAAAUGUGAGUAACUAUUAUAACCCAUAAUAAAUUAUGUUUUUUUUUAUAUUGCAUUUUCAUCUUUUUUAAAAAAUAAAAAAAAUUCUUUAAUCUUGUAUUACCUCGCAUGUUUCUAAUUUCAUUUACCAUUUCUUAGUUGAGCAAAAAUAGAUCUGAAUAAAAAUAAAAAGUUUGAUGGAUCCAAUAAAAAUAAAAGGAUCCAAAUAAAAUAAAAAAAACUAUUUCAGGUGGUAACAAAAGUUAGAAGGACCAAUAAAAAAAAUGAACUCCAAAACUAUUAUAAAGAUAAAUUUAUUUAAUAUUUGUUCAACUAAAUAUUUUUUUUUCUUUAUCCAUUCAUUCUGUAUAAAAUACUAACCGAACAUAAUCUAAAAAGUAUAUUUUUGUCACUAGUUAGAAAAUAUAAAUGACAAUAUGAGUGUGUGGGAAUUCCUCACACACUCAUAUUGUCACACUAAACAGCCCAUAUAAUUAAAAACUCAAUAAGAAAAAGUAGAAGAAAAACAAUUAUCCAUUUUUUAGCUUCAUAAUGUUUGAGCUGGACAAAUAAUUAAAGUUUAUUCAUGUGGUACAUAUUUUAUUUUAAAGGAUUGUUUAAGUACUAGUAGUUAAAGAAGUAUGCUUAUUUCAAAAAAUGCUUAUUGGUGUUAUCAUGUUAAUUAGAUUAACAUGGAUGAUCGAUCGUGGAUGUAUCGUCGUCUUAUGGAUGGUCGCCUUCGUCCUGAAUACAUUACUGGUGUUAGAAGAUUUAUCAAUUUUGCAUUUUCAAUUGAUAAAAAUAUAUCUGGGGGAAAAAUUAGAUGUCCUCAUGUGAGGUGCAAAAAUCAAAAGUUUUUAAAGGAAGAUGAUGUUUGUAAACAUCUAUUGACAAAAGGUUUUUUACCUUGUUAUGAAAAUUGGACUGUACAUGGGGAGCCUUAUGUCGCAGAACCAAUAUUGGCUGGACUUUCAUCGAUUAUAAUGAGUCAUGAUGUGAAUGAUGUUUGUCUAGAGAAUCCAUAUAGGAAUCUGGUUAUGGAUGCAAUGGGGGUUGGUGAUGCAUUCUAUAAUGAUAAUGUGUCUAGUCCUAUGGUAGCAGGGGAAAUUCCAAAUCCGGAGGCAACUAAAUUUUUUAAGCUUUUGAAAGCUGCGGAGGAGCCGUUGUGGGAUGGGUGUAACAAGCAAUCCAAAUUAUCUGCUUGUGUACAAUUGUUUAAUAUGAAGUCAACUUUAAAUUUGACUCAGAAUGCCUUCAACAAUUUUAUUGACUUUACAAAAAGUUACAUGCCUAAUGAUGAAAAUUUGGUUUCAAAUUUUUAUGAUGCCAAGAAAUUUAUGCGGCCACUUGGACUUGGUUAUGAGAAAUAUGAUGUGUGUCCUAAUUACUGUAUGCUGUACUAUGGGGCAGAUGCAAUGAAAAUAAAUUGUGAUUUUUGUGGAAGUUUACGAUACAAACCUAGAAAUCCAACUAGUAAAGGUUCCAAUAAGGCGGAGAAGCAACUCCGAUACUUUCCUCUAACACCAAGGUUUCAGAGACUAUUCAUGUCUCCAUAUCAUGCCAAAGAUAUGACAUGUCAUCAUUUUCAUAAGUCUGAUAAUGGGGUUAUGAUGAACCCAUCUGAUGGGGAGGCAUGGAAGGAGUUUAAUCGUGUCCACUUAAGCUUUGCAUCAGAUCCGAGAAAUAUUCGGUUAGGGUUGUGCACUGAUGGGUUUUGUCCAUUUGACAUGUCUUCAAAUACAUACUCUUGUUGGCCAGUAAUUGUAACUGUUUAUAAUUUGCCUCCGUGGAAGUGCAUGACUAGACCAUUCAUGUUUUUGACAAUGAUGAUUCCUAGGCCAAAGAAUCCGGGUAAAAAGCUUGAUGUUUUUCUAAGACUUUUGAUUGAUGAGUUAAAGAAUUUGUGGUUUUUUGGUGUUGAAACAUAUGAUGUAUACAGAAAGGAAAAUUUUCAAUUAAGGGCAGCUUUGAUGUGGACCAUUAGUGACUUUCCAGCAUAUGACAUGUUAUCGGGGUGGAGUACUCAUGGAAAUCUGUCUUGUCCUUAUUGUAGGAGCAUAGCAAGGCUUUUAGAUUAAAAAAUGGGGGGAAAACUAUAUUUUUUGAUUGUCAUCGACGAUUCCUACCCAUGAACCACCCAUAUAGAUUUCAAUCUGAUAAGUUUUUGAAAGGAGUAAUUGAAAGGCUUCCUCCUUUACCUCGUCCAUCUGGUUUGGAAAUGUUAAACGAAGUGUCCAAGUAUACUGAGGGACAUAAUGGAGGUUCAUCAUAUAAUAAUAAAAUUCCUGGCUUUGGUGUUAAGCACAAUUGGGUGAAGAAGAGCAUUUUCUGGGAGCUUCUAUAUUGGCAUACAAAUUUGAUUCGUCAUAAUCUUGAUGUCAUGCAUAUUGAGAAAAAUAUCUUUGACAAUAUUUUUUAUACAGUAAUGGAUUGUCCGAAUAGAAGCAAGGACAAUUUAAAGGCUAGGUUGGAUAUUCAAUUGUAUUGUCAGAAGCCAAAUUUACAUUUGCAACAAGAUAUGAGUGGUCGGCUUUACAAACCUAAAGGCACUUAUUGUCUACACAAGAAACAACAACAAGAAGUUUUGUCAUGGAUGAAGGAAUUAUCAUUUCCUGAUGGUUAUGCUUCAAGCAUUUCACGAUGUGUGAAAGAGGCACAAUGUAAGGUUUCGGGGAUGAAGAGCCAUGAUUGUCAUAUCUUCAUUCAAAUACUUCUUCCAACCGCUUUCCGACCUUACUUACCUAGGCCACUGUGGGAGGCAUUAACUGAACUGUCCGUAUUUUUUCGAGAUAUUUGUUCAACAAAUUUAAAUGCCCAGCACAUGGAGUUAAUGCAGAUGAAUAUAAUUGAAAUAAUUUGCAAACUUGAAAGGAUUUUUCCUCCAUCCUUCUUUGACUCCAUGAAACACUUGACGAUACAUCUACCUUACGAGGCAAAAGUUGGUGGACCAGUUCAAUAUCGAUGGAUGUAUCCAUUUGAACGGUAUGUUUUCAUACUAUGUUAAUUUUAUUCACUUUUUAUUUUUUAAAAAUAAACUAAUUGACAGAAAUGAUAUAGGUAUAUGUUUUAUUUGAAGAAGAAAGUGACCAAUAAAGCUAAAGUUGAGGGUUCCAUAUGUGAAGCAUACUUGAUUGAUGAAAUUACCAAUUUUGCAUCUCAUUAUUUUGGUGAUGACGUGCAAACAAUUUGGAAUCGAGUUCCACAGAAUGAUGAUGGUGGCCUUAGAAGUGUAGAUGGAUGUCUCUCUAUUUUUUCCUAUCCAGGGAAAAAAUUAUCCAAAAGAUUUUAUAAAAGGCAGUUGUCACAUGCUGAAAUGCAAAUUGCGCAUAACUAUAUGAUAUUCAAUUGUCAAGAACUGAAGCCUUAUUUAAAGUAAGUAUGAAAUAUUAUUUUGUACUAAAUUUAUAAUAAUUUAUUAUUAACUUUAACAUUUUAAAAUUUUAGGCAAUGUCGACAAGAGCUAAAGUCACAACAACCACAUGCGAGUGAUGGUGAAAUUGAAAAAUUAUGCGAAGCGAUCUUUCGAAAUUGGUUAAAAAAUAAUGUAAGUAUUUUAAUAAAAUUAAUUUAUAUUUUAUGUCAAUUAGCUACUUUAAAAAUAUUAUUAAUCUCUUUUAAAUCAUUAUUUCUUAUGGAGUUAACUAUUAUGCUAGGUGGAAUACCAAUCUAACGGAAUUGAAAAUCAGCUCUUUGGACUUGCUAUGGGCCCUUCAACUUCAGUGAAAUGUUAUAAUGGGUAUUAUGUGAAUGGUUUUAAAUUUCAUACUCAACGUUAUGGCCGUUUUAAAAAGACAAUGAAUAGUGGAGUUUGUGUGAAAGGAAGUUGCUAUGAUGAUAAUGAACGUGAUUAUUAUGGAAUGCUUAAAGAAGUUGUUCGGCUAAAAUACUUGGGGAGUAAGUGCAAGUUAUUUAUGUUUAAAUGUAAUUGGUAUGAUACAAAACGAGGGAUUAGAGUGCAUCCUUCGAAUGGUUUGGUUGAAAUCAAGCAUACAUCUCGACUACACGGAAAUGAAGAUUUUGUGUUAGCACAACAAUGUCAACAAGUCUACUAUACAUAUCCACCUGGUAAUAAAUCAUCUGAAUGGUGGACAGUUAUUAAGACAACUGCUAGAAGUCAUUAUAAUGUUGACAUGGGUGAAUUUAUUGAAGAUGCCAACAAUGUGAGAUCAUUUGAUGUUGAUCAAUCAGAUGAGAUUUCUCAACCAUGUCGUGUCCUUCCUACUCAAACACUUGAUGAUCCAAAUAUACUUGUUGAAUCAUCUUAUUAUGAAGAAAUCGGGCAACAUGAAUUGAUUCAACUUGACAUGAAUUGGGGAAACAAAGAUGAUGAAGAAGAAGAAGAAGAUGAUGGUGAUGGUGAUGGUGAAGAAGAAGAAGAUGAUGAUGAUGAGGAUGAUUGUUAUGGUGGUGAUGGUUAGGAAUGAUGAUAAUAAUGAGUAGCACAAGUUAAUUAUAUUUUGUAGUAUAUGUAAUGAAUUAUCUUUAUUAUAUGUAUGAAUGAUUUCAUAUUAUUUGACAAUAUUUAGGCUUUCAAUGUUUUUUUAUUUUAUUUUAUUCAAGUGUGUGUUAUGCAUCACAUUACAUAAAUCAUUUUCAUUCACCUUUGAAACCAUUUAUAACCUUUCAAGUAUCAAUCUUUAAAUUGUGAUUCUGAUGUUAUAUUUUAUUUUGUGAUUCGUUUUCUUGCUUACAGAUGCUGAAGCGUGAAAGAAAGGGUUCUUCCUACUCAAUGUUUUGAUUUAUAGGACCAAACAUUAAGGUAAGCAUACUCAUAAAUUUUGAUUUCUGCUUAAUUAAUUAUUUAGAUUUUUAUUUUUAUUAUUGUUUGUGUUAAUUGGAUUUUGACAAUUUAAACUUCAUGGCUGAGUUUUGUCAUUGUAAGGAAUGCUUAAUGAAAUUGUCUUGAUGUUAUUUAUAUAUUUGGUUUUGUUACAGUAAUUAUUUUAUUUGAAGUAUAAUAUUUUUCGGAGUGAUGACUAUUAAGUGGACAAUCCAUACUGAUUUUGAACUUCAUAAACUAGAUAUUGUUUGUAAUGAAUUGGGAAAAAAAUGAGAUUUAACAGUUUGUUUUCAUUCUAGUUAUGGCAGUCUUGGGAAAAUAUCUGUGAAUUUUUUGUUCCUGAUAGUUUAACUAUGAGCUAAUUUAUUGUUAUGUUGUAUAUAUUCAUAUUAAAUGUUAGUUAUUUUUUUCUGGUUUUUAGCAUGCCUCGACGAGGAUCCAUAUUAGAUUAUAGGAGUGACAGGUCCACAUCAAGGAGUGACAGGUCCACUUCAUCCAAGUCAUUUCAAACUACAUCAAGACAUAAUAACAAAGGAUCCACAUUUCAUCAACCUGUGUAUCAGAACGCAAAUGAGUAUUAUAUACCUACUUUGGGGAGUACACAUCCUCCUCAACAUGAUUAUGGGAGGGUUGAUGCAUAUCAAUAUUGUGAGGGCUUUCAUUUUCAAGAUUUGCUUCAAACUCAAGGAGGUUUCUCUCGAGAUAACCAACUUGUUUAUGGAGGACAUAAUUUAUAUGGGAGUUAUGGGAGAGUUGAUGGUAAUGAUGAUGAUGUGAACAUUAGAAAUGAAGAUGAGGGAGACGGUAGUAAUGAGAGAGGUGUAUAUGAUGAGAGAGAUGUAUGUGAUGAGGAUCAAGAUGGUGUUCCAUCAUAUCACGGUUCAACAUCUUCUCCAUACAAUUAUGAUCAAAGUGUUAAAAGGAAGGGUUUUGACACGUCAAUAGAUCCAAUAACAAGAAAAAAAGAGCUUUGUUUGUAUGGAACAACAGAGUAAGUUCAAACUUUUAAUAACUAACUUAUUAAGGUUAUAUUUUCAAGUAUGAAAAAAAUUACUUAUUAUUGUGUAAUUAUUUGUUUAAUAUAAGUUUGUUAUUAUAUAUUUUCAGGUUCAAUAACGCAUCGUGUGGCCGUGCAAUCGGAGAUAUUUUGAGGUCCAAUUUUAAGGGAGCCUGGCACUCUUGGGAAAAAGUAGAUCCAAUGUGCAAGGAUGAACUCUUUAAAGAGUUUAAAGUAAGAACCAACACUAAUUGCCAUAAUAUUCUUUUCAAUUUUGAUCACUUUAAUGUAGAAUUAUGAAAAUUAUCAAUUGAAUAGCUAUGAUUGAUUUGUGUUAUAAUUUGUUCUUAUUUCUUGUUUACUCUUUAAUAUCAUUUAAUUUCUUUAGUUAUUACAUCAUCUUGCAAAUUUUGAACAAGAUAACACAAUAUGAUUAAUUAUUUAUAUAAUUUGAAAUUUUGUGCACUCUUUUUACUUGGUAUAUAUAUUAUUUGGUAGAAAAAAUAUUCCUUUCCUGAGGAGGAUGAGUCGAUUGUUCGUAAUAUUUGGGAAGAUAAGGCUAGGAUAGCUUUGAAUCAACAAUUGACACGAGCUCGCAAGAAAGCUACGUCAAAAGAAAACACUACAAAUAUUAUAGAUUGUCUUGAUAAAGGUCCUACCUGGAUAAACAAUGAUGACCGGAAUCAAAUGAUCAAAGAUGUUUGGUCCACCCCUGAAUUUCAAAGGAGAUCUGAAUCUGCUAGGAGGAAUCGAUUAACCAAAAAAGAUGGCAAAAUAAGCACUCAUUCUGGAGGAACAGUGUCAUUUGCAUCAUAUCGAGCUAACAUGGUAAGGAUUUUUUUUUAUGCUUAAGAUAAUAAAUUAAAAUUUGUAUAUUUAUCUUUUAUAAUAUUUAUUAAUCUUGAAAGCAAGAGGAAGCUGGUGGAAAAGAACCUCCAUGGGAUGAUGUCUUUUCAGCUUUGCAUCAAAGUACUAAGCAAUCUGGUAGCUUCGUCGACAACAAGUCUAAAAAAGUGGUUGUAUGUAUUUUUAUUUGAUUAUUUCUUAAUAUAACUUAAGUAUUAUUCAACAUUCAAAUUAAUUUAUUGUUGCAUGUAUUUUAUUUGUAGGAAAAUUAUAAAAUGGAGAUGAUUUCAAAGUAUGGAACUGAUCGAGAAAAUCAUCAUUCAUUUGAUGGAGCAGCUUGGUGUGUGGCUUCAGGAGGAGUUACAAAGGGUAGGGUAUAUGGUGCACCUCGUAUGCCAAAAUCAAAAGUUAGUACAAGCUCUUCAUCACAUUCCUACUCGGUGGAGUCAUCAUAUCCCAGUUCAUCGUAUCGAGCAUUGCAAAAGGAGAUAAAGGAUAAAGAAGAGGAGAUAAAGAAAAAAGAUGAUUUUAUUCUUGAAAUGAAACGGCAGAUAGAUUCCAUGAAAGAAUAUCUUGUGAACAAUCUUGGAUACCAUAGUGGGACAUCAAAUAUUGAUCAAGGUAUGCCACCACCUUUGACUCCAUCAAUACCGCCACCUAUGGCUCCUCAGAUAAUGACACCUAUGGGUCCCGCAUGUCAACCAAUUUUUUGACCUACACCUCGACCUUUAUAUCCUGAUCAAUCUUGUGUUGAUCCACAAUAUCAUGGUUCGUCUUCGCAACCAGCACCAUGAUUGUAUCUUUUGUUGUUUUUUUUUAUUGUAUUUGAACUUAAUUGUAUUAAUGCAAGUUUAACUAAAUUUUUAUAAUAUGAAUAUUAUUUUUAUUUUGUUUUUUAUUAAUGAUAUAAUUAUUUUUAAUAUUAAUUAAUUUAUGUUGGUUAUAUAUAUUCUACAACUUUUAAAAUAUCCAUAAAUAAUUAAAUAAAUAAAUUAAAAGUCAUUUUAAUAAAUAAAUAAAAAUUAAUUUAAUAAAAACAAAUGCAAUCACAACGGAUUCUCCGUUGGUGAUUGCAACUGAUGCAUGAAUCAGCAACGGAGAAUCCGUUGCUGAUUCACAAAACUAGCAACAGAUUUAUCCGUUGCUAAUUACUCCAUUUUUUAGUAGUGUUUCCUCAACCUCAAUUGUUUUUACUGCUACACUCUACUUCAUGAGCCGUCCAAGAAAAGUUUACUUGGUGGAUUUUUCAUGUUACAAGCCCGGACCAGCUCAUAUAGCAUCUAGAGAACUCUUCAUGCAGUUAUCUGCAGCGUCCGAGGUUUUCACAGAGCAAAGCUUAGCUUUUCAAAAGAAAAUCCUAGAGAAAUCAGGCUAUGGUGAAAUGACCUACGCUCCAAUAGGCUUGAUGCGUGUCCCGCCAUACCAGUCCAUGGCUGAAUCCUGGAGGGAAUCAGAGAUGGUGAUGUUCGGAGCAAUUGAUGAUCUCUUGGCCAAAACAAGGGUGAAGCCUAGAGACAUAGGAAUACUUGUGGUGAAUAGCAGUUUGUUCAAUCCCACGCCGUCUCUCUCAGCUAGAGUUGUGAAUCACUACAAGCUUAGAGGGAACAUUUUGAGCUAUAAUCUUGGUGGUAUGGGCUGCAGUGCAGGACUUAUUUCUAUUGAUCUUGCCAAAGACCUUUUACAGGUUUGUUACUUCAAAUGGCAAACUUUUACGGUUUUUAAGGUGCCACUUUCGGAUUUAGCAAUUUAAUUUGAAUGAUUUGACGACGGUACGGUUGAUAUAUAGCAUGAUUUGCACAUAUGUAUGAUAUUCUUAAAAUUAAGCAUGAGUUUGUACAUAUUUCAAGUGUACGUGUCAAAAGGUCUCGGGUUUAAAUAUUUCCUUUAUAUAAUAAAAGUAAUAAUAAUUACAAGGAUUGACACUUCAUUGUACCAGGUGCAUCCCAACUCCUAUGCCCUAGUGGUUAGCACCGAGAACAUUACUCGCAACUGGUAUUUUGGCAAUGACCGAUCGAUGCUUGUCACCAACUGCCUCUCCCGUAUGGAAGCAGCCGCAGUCCUCCUAUCCAACCGGACAUUUGAUCGCCGUCGCUCAAAGUAUCAACUUAUCCGUACUGUACGUACACAUAAGGGUGCAGAUGAUAAGUCCUUCAACUGUGUCUUGCAACGAGAGGAUCUUGACACCCAAAGAGUUGGUGUCUCUCUCUCAAAAGACCUAAUGGCUAUAGCUGGAGAAGUCCUUAAAACGAAUAUAACCACUCUGGGCCUAUUAGUUCUUCCAGUCUCCGAGCAACUUCUAUUCUUUGUAACCUUAAUUGCCCAAAAAAUCUUCAAGAAGAAGAUAAAACCAUAUAUUCCUGAUUUCAAGUUGGCAUUUGAGCACUUCUGCAUCCACGCGGGGUUAAUAAUCUUUUUAUUUUUAACACAAAAAAUUAUUUUCAAUAUUUAUAUUUUCAAUUACUUUCCAGACGCAUCACUUUUAAAUAUUGAUUUAGAUGGUAAACCACUUUAUUUAUUGUAUUUAAUAUUGUAAUCCUCACCCUACCCUUCCUAAAAUAUCAAUUACUUUCUCUGUUUCAUAAAGAGAGUUUUAUUAAACUUCACACAAAUCAUUUCGUUUUGUUUGCCACCCUAGUCUUUCGCAAUCUUUCUUCAAGACACUUCCAAUUUUCGAGAGAGAAAACUCAUAUAUUUUUUUUAUCAUAUUUAUUACAUUACAUUUUAAAAUUACAUGUAGUUGAAAAAAAAUGUGAAUUCAAUUUUUAAAAGAAGUAAAAUAAUAAAAUUUGACACUCUAUUCUUUUUAUUUAUGAAUAAAACAUAUGUUUUAAGAUAUCUAAAGGAAAAAAGAACUCUCUCUUUGAGAUGAGAUGGAAGAAAUAUAAUGUUUAUUCUAUAGGCUCCACAUGUAAACAAUCACCAUAAAAUUAUAAUUAUUUUACUCGAUUCAAAAACUAAACUAAAAAGGAUAUGAGGUGUUCAGUUACUAGACUAACUUGUGGAUCAUCAUAUCAAUUCAGUGGAUCAAUGACAUGCUAUAUUAAAAAUAAUUCAGUGUUGAAUAUAAUCAUGCUUUAAUUUCAACAAAUUUUUAAUUUAAUUUCAAUAUAUUUUUUAAUUAAUUUUAAAAUUAAAUAAUAAUUUAAAAACUUGAGAGUUUGAACUAACAGAUAUAAAUCACGAUGAAAUUUCAACCUCUCUAUAACUCCUACAUAAUAUCUUAAAAUCAAUUAUAUUGUAAUUUUUACAUUUUUAAAUAUUCCUAAAUGAUGAAAAAAAAUUAACUGGCUAAAAAAAUGCUAACUAGUCUAUUGACCCGCGUUCUGUCUUUGUCAGAUUAAUUUUUUUUAAAUGUAAAAAAGAAUAUUGAGAGCACGAAGAUUUUUUUUUUAUAGUGUUAUUAACUCUGAUCAAAUAGGUCAAUCUUAAAACCUUUCGUCUCAGCUCUUUGCCAAACUCAAGUUUUCGAUUAAAUCGUGUGGCAGCUUGUCUGAUUUAAACAAUCAAUUUUAUGGAUCCAAAUAUAACUUGGAUGGCUGAUGAAAACAUGAAUUAGCUUUCAAAAAAAAUUCAAGAUAAUUUGUUUUAAAAAAAAUAUCGAGACAAUGACAUAUUGGAUCAAUCCCGGUCCCCCAAUAACACGGAUCAUGGACUCUAUUGGAUUUAAUAAUCUUUUUUUAUAAAUUCUUUUUAAUUAUAUAAUACAAAUAGAUGCUCGUAAAAUUAAACAGCAACCCUAAAAUAUAUAUUUAUUUGAUAUUAGGAUAACCCUAUAGAAAACAAACAAAAAUAAACCUUAUAGUCUAUUCCUAACCACAAAUAUUGAAGGACGAAAUAAAAAAAUAAAGGAUCAAAAAUAAAAAAAAGCAUAUCCAGUCUGUUAGUAAACCUGUCAAACCAGUGAAUCGGGUAACUUGAGCUAGCAUGCCAAACUAGUGAACGGGGUUAUGGACUCCACUGAGAUUAUAAUUUGUUUUUUCUUAAAAAAAUAUUUUUUAUUUAACUAUAUGAUAAUAAAAAUAGACGAUCGCAAAAUCGAAUAUUAACUCGAUACCGAGAUAUUUUUUGAGACCGCAAUAACUUUAUAGAAAGUAAAUCGAAACCAAUUAUGGAAUUGAAUUCUCAAUUAACCCAAUAUCUAUAGAUGAAAUUGAAAAAAAGAGUUAAACUUUCCAAACUUGCGAACCAUGUCAACCAACCGAACCUAUGAACAGAUCCAUGAACUUUAUAAAGUUUAAUAACAUGUCUUUUUUUCGAAACUAUUUUUUUAACUAUACGAGAAAAAAAUAAACGAUAACAAACUCAAGUUCAAUUAAAAAAAAACAUUUUGCCAAACCCAUAAACCAGGAUAACUUGGGUUACCCAAGUAAACCCGCAAACUACUUUAACCAUAUAAAAAAAUAAAUUAAAAAUAAAUAAAUUACAAGAUUCAAUUCUAAAUUACCUCAAUAUUAAAAGAUAGAAUAGACAAAAACAAUUUAAAAAAAAAAAACCAAUAAGCAAAGUGAGAGCAUAUCAUGAAAUUUUUGCUAUAAAAAUAAUAAUAGCAAAGGCUAAAAGUUUUGUAUGCUUAAGACUGUAUGCUUAAAGGAAAAGUGGACGACGGACGACGUGGUUUUGUCCCACAGGUUGAAAAAAGGCUUGUGAUGAAAUCGUUUCAGCCUAGCUUAAGUUUAAUUUCCCAUUCUUCUGCUUGUCGUGCAUCUUUUAUUCCCCGAGCUAAACUCAACAGAACACUCAUUACCCACAAAAAAAAAAAACAUACCCCUCCCCUGUCCAUUUCACUCAUAGUUUUAAGAUCCGGCCCGGGUUCCGGGUUCCGGGUUUUGAUUGGGUUACCGGGUUUUGGCCGGGUCAGUUCUUGUUUUUUAAAAUCAAAACGACGUCAUUUUAGUAAAAAAUAAAAAAUAAAAAAGUCAACGGGUUUGCAACCGGGUCUUGCUGGGUCAACUGGGUCGCCAGGUUAGCUGAGCCACACCGGGUUUUUCCUUCCCCUGUUUUUUCUUCAACCCGGCCCGGUUCCAGCCUCGGGUCGGCCGGGUCCCGGGUCGACCCGCUGGGCCCGGCCGGGUUUCAAAACUAUGCUUUCACUCGAAGGGUUAGUUCGAGUUUCUUCC